CGAAGACAGGUUUGAGCUAUAUGUUCUAUGCAGAAAACAAGGUGAAAAACCAGCAGAUAAUCAAGCUAAGAGGACAAAUUGGAGGCUUGCAUUCAGAAAGCCUAGUGCGCCUGCUCUUCUUGAUUAUGUUAACAUCAGUCCAUUUUCCCUUCCAGCAAGAAGGACGAAGGAAUUAAGAGCUUUAACUGGAUGGUAUGCCCGAGCCUCUUCCGAUCUAUGCUAUUUGUUUCAUUAAAAGUUUGAAAUAUUUUACAUGCGACCUGGAUUGUGAAUUUUCAAGUACCUCAUUAACUUAUUUCAGUUAUCCUGAAAGAACAACUAGGUAGUAUUAGUCUUGCGAAACUACAGAAGCACCGUAGUUAAGAAAAGGAAAAGAUGAGAUCUUUAGAGUAAUGCCACGUAUCUAUUUUGUGUUACAAAAAGGUAUUGUACUUGCGACUAAACUUUCAGAUAGACAUUCACAGUGAGAUAACUGGAUUAAUUUGUCAUUUGUAUUAUACCAGAACUAAGAAAAAUAACAUUGUACUCCUCUUCAACUGCAGGAGGUAUUACAUCAGCCUGUUCUUAGAGUUGUCAGAUAUUGCAAUGCCUUUCGUAAGGGCUGCUGUCAGCAAAGUGAGCGCAGCAGUGUCCUACUUCUGGGUCUCCAUGAUUGGAAGAUCAUUGGGACUGAUUUUCUCAGGGAUUAGACAGUCACUUGGCUGGAUAUGAGCUUAUACCUGUUUUGACUGUGACUUUUCUUUUUCCCCGGCACUCUGGUGAUACUGAAUGAUCGACUGUUGACUCCUGUAAUCUCGAUUCAGUUUUGUGACUGUUAGACUAUGCAUUGGAUAUCUUUAUUGCCCUGAUAAGGCCAUCAUUUUAUCCUCUUUGUUUCUUGUGUGUUUGCAUUGUAAACAAAGAUUGAAGGAUGAUAUGAAAAACCUGAAAAUUGCUGGAAUUCAUUGAAGCCCUAUGCUUGUAGUGAUGAAUCACACUAAUGUGGAGGAACGGUUCCACGUUGCUGCUACGAAUAGAUAUAUAUAGCGGAAGUAUUGGAGGAACCUUUCCAGUGUGAUAAUAGGUAGAAACAGCACGAAGUGUUGAAGGAAGUACUUCAACGUGCUGAGCUUGAUAUCGUUCUAGAGAUGAAGAUAGACCAAAAGGUUGAAUCCAAAUCCACGGAUACCAAGAGCUAAAGCUCUUAAGGUACACGAUCUAGUCCAAAAUCUAAAGGUUAGAGCAACAUGUUCUAUUCAUAAGGUGUUCUAUUCGUAAGGUAGUGGGUACAUCAAAAUCAUCUUACAAACUUGAGGCUUGCUUCUGUUUAUAGGCUCGUAAGCCUGACACAACUCACACACAACUAUUAUGGCAACUCGCAUAUAACAACUAGGUAACAACUCAUGUUAUAGCUAAUAGACAAGCUUCAAGAUACUUUUUAAUCUCAUUAGUGUAGUAGUAUUGUAGUAGUACAACCAAAUUUGCAACUAAUUUUUGAAGUGUCUAAAGAUGGGUGUAUCUUUUCAUAGUAGAAGAGUGGGACUUGACUUCAAACUCUUGAUAGCAAAAUUCAGUUUGGAUUUUGACGCACUUGAAUGCUCAUGAACCAUUUGGCUAUGUCUUUUGUUGAUAAAGGACUUCAUUCCAAAUUAGAAGCAAUGUACAUGAGAGAGGGUCAAAAGACCCCAGUCUACAGAUGGAGAGCCGAAAGGAUCGGGCAAUCCUGAUCAUGAUAAGAGUUUGUACAAACAGAAGUAAGCACCCUAUCAGAGGAUACAGUUCUGGCUCGAACAGCUAAACAAUGAGCUGCCUCAUUUUGAGAUCUUGAGAUUUUGAUCACUUGCACCUCAUCUUGUAAUCUCAGUUCCUGAAACUGAGAGAUCCAUGGGCGAAGUUGCCGAGGUGACUGUAAAGGAGCCUUGAGAAGAUAUCUGACCGCCAAGAGGCAGUCAGAACCAAGACCGCCAGCAUUGACCUGUAAAAUAGAAAAGAUUUUACCCGCCAGAAGAAGGGCUGCAAGUUCAGCCAUCACCACAGACUCCACUCUGGCUAAUCCAAGCACCUGCAGGCGACAAGAGAGGAUAGUGGAUCUGAGAUCGACCACUAAUCCCAGUACUGCAGUUCUGGAGGCACUUCCUGGUCCAUCUGGAUCUAGAGCUGCAUCUGCAUAUGCAAAAACAAAUGGCUGCCAAGCUUGGCUGGAAUGUAAAUCCUGCAUCACCAAUAAGGAAGGAACAACAGCAGGAAAAGAAGUAUUGAUGGCAUUGGCAACAACAUUAUUUGAAGUCCUAUUCCUAUUAGAAAUAGAGAUUGAGGUACCACAACCUGGUGAAGAUAUCUUCCAAAAGAUCAUCUGAAACACAGUUUGAAAGGAUUAAAGAUAAAGUGCUUUGAAGGCCAUCAUAUUCCAGAGGAAGCCGAUCAGUCCUCAAAGGAACCCCUGCAGAAAACCAGACAGCUCUGGCAAACUCACAUUCAAAGAACAGGUGGAACUCAGUUUCAUCAGCACCACACAAUUUGCAAGUGUUUUCUAUUCUCGAACUAAAGGAAGCAGCUCGAUGACCAGUGGCAAGAGAGUGUCUAAUAGUCCUCAAGCAAAAGCUUUAAUGCGAGGAGGAAUGGUUUUAUGUUGCCAAAUUCUGUUAAGAAUGGAAAGAGCAUCAGAGGAGAUAGCUCUUGGUCCUUGGUUCGGUAGGGAGUGAGUGGUUUGAGCUGAAAGGUAUUUGUAAGCUUCUUUAGUUGAGCAGAUACCAUGGAUAGAAGGUUUCCAACACAAGCAAUCUAUACAGGUAGAAGAAACUUUAGGAAUCUGAAGGAUGGAAUCAGCAAUUUGAUGGUGGAAAGUAGAAUUGACAAGAUUAGCAUUCCAAGAGACUGCUGCUGAUUCCAUAAAUCUGACAUUAAGUUGGGAAGCUGCCUAUGAACAUGAGGGUCUUUAAGGUGGGUGUAUAUAGUUUCCCAAUUAUCAAACCAGGGAUCAGUCCAGAUAUUAGAGUUACCUUUAUGAAUCUGCACCACGCACUGUUGAUGAAGGUGAUGCUUUACCUGCAAAAUAGAAGACCAGAAAGCAGACCUAGUGCCAUGACAAGUAGCUCUCCAAAAGCUAGUGUUAGGAAAAUAUUUGGCUUUUAUAACUGAUGAAAGUAAAGGAUCAGUAUUAGAAGCAAUUAACCAGGCAGAAUGUGACACUAGGCUUUUGUUAACAGUGUAAAGAUUUCUAAUUCCAAGCCCACCCACUGACUUUGGUUGACAAAUAUCAUCCCAAGACCUGAAAUAAAAAGGUUUCGAAGAAUCCUCACCUUGAACUCCUUGCCACCAGAAACGUCUCAGGAUUGAAUUAAUCUUCUCAGUGAAUGAUCUGGAGAACAAAAUAUUCUGCAUAUAGUAGAUAGGAAUAGAAGCCAGCACCGAAUUAAUAUAAGUGAUCCUCCCUGCAUGAUUAAGCUUGUUGGCCUUGAUACCAGUUAACUUGGCCCUGAACUUAGUAAGGAUAAAACCGUAGGCUUGCGUUCUAUCUUUAUAGGAGAAAAUGAUAGGAUGACCAAGAUGAGUGGUUUGAGAGGUCAUCAAAGAAACAGGGAAAAGAUUCUGUAUCUCCUGUUUAGUUUAGACAUCAACAUGAGAAUGGAGGAUUUGGCCCAAUUAGGAGUUUGACCAGAAGCUUGACAAAAUCGACUGAGAAUUUCCUUAAUUUGACAGGCUUCAGCAGCAGUAGCCUUACCACAGAUAAGAAGGUCAUCAGCAAACAAGAAGGAAUGUAUGGGAGGACAAUUAUGACCAAGCGAAAUCCCAGAGAGAUGGUUACUUUGUAAAGCAAUUUGUGAAGUGUGGGAAAGCUCAUUCAUUGCCAGAACAAAAGAUAAGGAGAUAAAGGGCAGCCCUGUCUAAUCCCCCUUUGAGAAAGAAAGGAAGGAGAAGAUUGACCAUUCACAAGAACAGAGAAAUCAGUAGUGGAAAUACAAGCACUUAUUAAAUUUACAAUAUGAGUAGGUAAACCAAUUCUAAGCAUGGCAUUUGUAAUAAAGUUCCAUUCUAUUCUAUCAAAAGCCUUAGCUAGAUCAAUCUUGAGAAGAAAGCAUUUAUGUUUCCAAGAAGUGAGACCAAAGGAGUGAGUGAUUUCCUGGGCUAUAAUGAUAUUAGAUGAGAUAUGUCUACCAGGAAUAAAAGCAGCCUGAGAAGCAUGAAUUUUAUUAGGAAGGAAAGGCUUGAUUCUAUCAGCUAAACUCUUAGCAAUUAUCUUAUAAAUAACAUUGCAAAGGCUAAUAGGUCUAAAAUCCUGAGGAAGCACAGGUGCAUUUUUCUUGGGGAUUAAGACAACGAAAGUUUUAUUUAAAUCAGGAGGAAGAAUACCUGUGCUAUAAAAAUUUUGAACCAGUUGUACUACAUCAUCACCAAGCCAGUCCCAUGAAGCUCUAUAAAAAGCCGCAUCGAAGCCAUCUGGACCAGGGGCUGCAUCCUUUCUCAUGUUCUUGAUUAUUGCCCAUAACUCAGCUUUAUCUGGAACAGAUCUUGUGAAUUCACUGUUUAAAUCCUCAUCUCCCCUAUUCUGUUGAGGCAAGUAAUGGAACUGCUGAUGUUGAACCUGACUUGUGAACAGCUUUGUGAAGUAACUGUUGAAACAAGAAGCUAUCUGGUCUUGAGUUGUGAGAGGGUUGCCAAGUUUGUCUGUGAGAAAAAGAAUCCUAUUCCUUCUGGCCCUCUUAAGGAUGGACUGCUGAAAGAAGUGUGUAUUUCUAUCUCCCUCAGUAACCCAUAGCUUCUUAUAUCUCUGUUUAUGAAAUUCUGCUUGUUUAUCAAGGAUCACCUGAUGCUGUUGAAUUAAAUCUCUCUGUAGGGUGUUGUUCUGAAGGUUUGGAUGGAGGCUCUGCAGUUUAAGAAUGCUAUCUUCUAUUGCUUGUAACUGAGAGUUGAGGUUAGGUUUCUUUUUUCUCCAUUUUUGUAAGUCUGAAGACAAGAACUUUGUUUUAAGGUGAAAUGGGCGUGAGGAGGACUUUUCCCAGACAGUAAUAGCUUCCUUCUGAAAAUCCUCUUCCAUUAACCACCAAUUCUCAAACCUAAACAUCUAUCCAAAAAGUGCAGGGCUCAACUCAACCUAAAAGUCCUCUUCCAUUGGUAGAUGGAAAAUAGCCGUUGAUGGAAACGCUGCACACCAUUCUGCAUUACCUAAACAUCUAUCCAAGCGCUCAAAAGUGGGAUUAGCAUUAAACCCAAAUCCAUGAAACCACAUUCUUUAACUAGAUGACAGAAAUUAGACAUACGAGUAAUAUUAACAGGUCUAGGACCUAGCUUUUCAUUAACAUGCAUCACAUUAUUAAGAUCCCACAUACAGAAAGCAGGAACAUUUGGAUAAUUUACAACAAAAGCAUGGAUCUCCUGCCAGAUAGACUCAGUUCUUUUGUGAUAGGGAUCACCAUAAACAAAAGCUAGGAUAAACUUCUGAGCACUUGGCUUAUAUUCACAACUAGCUAAGAUAACAUUAGCUCUAGACUGUUCUACUUGCAGGGACACAUCUUGUUUCCAAAGCAGCCAAAGGCCUCCUGCAAGGCCUUCAGCUGGAACAAUGUGAGCAUCAUGAACAGCAAAUUUGUUAACAACAGAAGAUUUUCUGAAUUUCUUAUUCCUAGUCUCUGAAAUAAAAAUUACCUGCGCUUUAGUAGACACCACCAGUCUGGAGAGAUGAUUCAUUUUAGAGCUGCAGAGACUCCCUCCAGUGCCUCUGCAGUUCCAGGAUAGAAGAUUCAUGGUGCCCGUGGCACCUUUAAGGCUGGUGCCAAAGCCUCUUGAGAAGCCGAGUCAUUGCAAGCCAAAUGGUGUCCAGUUGCUCUUGCCUCAUUCACAGGCGGCAGGAUAUUCUUAACAUCCAGAGCAGGAUGCAAUAGAAGUGCAGGGCUCAACUGAACUGGCUUAUUGGUACUGAUGGAGCCUUUCUCACCCUUAGUAAAAAAUUGAUGAAACUGCGUGAUUAAAGGGGAGACCUGCUGAACUUCUUGGACUUCAAACACAUCUUCUGGAACAGCUGUGGCUCUAGUCAUCCAAGAACCGAAGACUUCAAAAGGAACAGGUUCAGGAUAAUUCUGAGCAGACUCAAUGCAUAUUUUGCAUUGUCUGAUAGAGCAAUCUUUGACAUGGUGAACGAAACCCACACAGGAGGUACAUAUUCUGAAGAUCUUCUCAUAAUGAACAUAAAUAAUAGCAGAGCUAUCUUCUCCAAGUUUGAGUCUGAUUUUGUCAACUGCUCUAUGGUUGAUAUUUAUCUUAGCUCUACCAGCCACACAUCUUUCAUCACUAAGCAUAAAACUAGCAGUCAUAGGUUCAAGAUCUGAAGGAAAACCAACAUUCCUAAUUAACUGAUCUACCAAAACCAGAGUUCUGAGAUAAGGAGGAACCCCAAAAAACUUGAUUGUGACAUACAUGGAAUCAAAUCGAUACUAAGGUAACUCUUUGUGCGGAUCUACCCAUUCCAAAAGCAAAUUAUCUCUACCUACAUGCCAAGGCUGUCUGGUCCAAACAAAUCUCAUGUCACUAAGACUACGGAACUUGACCAAAAAUAUAUUGCGAAUCACCUGAGAGAUCUGAUGAGGGUUGCGUGACCAAGCAUUGGCCAUGUCUUCUUGAAUAGGUUGCAGACAAACUUCCUUAGCUAAACCAUCCGGAUCAGCCACCUGCUGAGGAGUAUCUGGCGGCGGAUGUGGAGGAACAGGUGGUGGAUCAGGAGGCGAGUCGUCGGAGUAACCGAGAAGGGGCUCGUUGGACGGCUAUUUUUGCAAAACCCGGUUUGAGAGGGAGAAAUAGCGCCCCUCCGAAAACCAAUCUUAGAAUUUCAUCUACAUUUUAACCAUUGGAGAGAAGAUUUUAUCACACAUUCGCCAUUUUUGCAUCCGUGGAGCGCCAUGUCACGUAUACAUGCUGGAUGGGGUAUACGAAAAGACCCGGCUGCCCCUAGCCUUAUCCUUUAGACCACCCGACUGCCGGUCUCUGUCCCAACCGAGCCAAACCAUCCAUUCGAGCCAGACCAACCAUUCCCCGCCUGCUCGAACCCGAGGGAGUAGCGGCGGUGUAGGCGGAGACAGUGGCGAAGGCAGUGACUGCGGUGUCGGCUUCAACGGCAACGGCAAUGUCGCGUGCUACAAAGUCUUCCGACGGAUUGAGGGGAUGGGAAGGGGUUAGGGAAGAAACAAGCCUUCCCUUGGUCCAGUGCCCAUACUGCGGGAAGGCUAGGGUGUUCGAACGACGGUCGAAGAAGGACAACAUCAACCAUGGCCGCUGUGUUCUUCAAAUGCCCAAGGGUGUAGGUUGAGUGAGAUAGUUUGUUGCUCUCAUGCUAUAUUUGGGGUUCGUUGUUCUUGACUUGAUGCGGUUUUUGUCUACAGAUACUAGAAAAGUGUGACUACUACCGGUGGCAGAGGAAGUAUCUGAAUGAUUUGGUUGACGCCAAAGUGGUUAAGGUGUUUUAUCAUGAACAUGAGCAUGAAAUCGAAGAAGAGGACCAAUAUGUGGACUUCCAGCCUGUGUUGUUGGCAUAAGAACGGGUUCCUGGCAAAGUGCAGAAGCAAGAUAUGAAAGCAAAGUUGGACAAAUUAAUGAAGCUUGUGUUUGUGUUGUGUAUGCUAUUUGUAGCCAUUGUUGGCAUGUUCCUUGGCCAUGUGUUGAAGUAGAAAAUAUGUGUUGUAGUACAUUGGCCAAGGGACAUAUUUGACGAAUGAAUGGUAGUAUUUGAUGAAUGAACAAUGCAUAUUGUGUGAUGACUGAAUGAGUUCAAACUGACGUAACUUUUUCAAUAGCGACAUAGUUCAACUUGACAGACAUAGUUCAACCAAAACAUAGUUCAAUUUGACGGACAUAGUUCAACCACAAUAUAGUUCAAACUGACAGAUAUAGUUCAAACUAACACACAUAGUUCAAACUGUCACACAUAGUUCAACCACAACACAUAGUUCUAAUUGACACACAUUACUUCUUAGUUGCCCCUCUCUUUCUUGGACUAAUUUUCUUUGCUACAGAAGGUUUCAAGACCUUGGACGCCAGCUUUUUCUUUGGAGUCAUCUUCUUUUCUGGAAUUGUCUCUAAAGAUGUUGGCAUUGUCUCGAUCAAACUGACAGACAUAAUUCAAACUAACACACAUAGUUCAAACUGACACACAUAGUUCAACCACAACACAUAGUUCUAACUGACACACAUCACUUCUUAGUUGCCCCUCUCUUUCUUGGACUAAUUUUGUUUUCUACAGAAGGUUUCAAGACCGUGGACGCCAGUUUCUUCUUUGGAGUCAUCUUCUUUACUGGAAUUGUCUCUAAAGGUGUUGGCAUUGUCUCUAAAGGCUCCAAAUCAGUUAUGGGCACAAUUCCAAUGGUCCUUCAAAAUCAAGCCUCCUGUACAAAUUCAGAGUGAUGUUAGUUAUUUGUUCACAUAGGAAAUGCAGUAAAAUGGGGAUCAUACCUCUUGGGUGGAGCUUCAGGUUCUGAUUUUGUUGCUUCACUUGCUUCAAUUGUAGUUGCUGGACUUGUUAGUUCACCUGCUGCUUCUUGGCUUGCUGCUUCCAUACCUGAUGCUUGGCUUGCUGCUGCUUCCUUAUUUGCUGCUGCUUCCCUUGCUUCUGCUUCCCUUGUUGCUGCUUCCCUUGCCACUGCUGCUCUUGUCCUUGGUGUUGUAGCCUGCACUGUCUCAGUUGUCUUUGAUUUCUUUCUCCCAACCUUGGUCUUUGUCUUCUUGGAUCUCUUCCUUUUCUUGGUUCCUGUCAGUUCACACCUUCAACUCCCCUUCUUGUGACCAAGUUGACCACAACCAUCACAUUUUGUUUGCCUUGUAGCCUUUCCUGACCUCUCCAAGCAAGAAGGUAUCCUGUUCUUUCUCUGCCUUCCCAGACCUCUUUUCUUGGCAUCUGGUGGAUAUAGCUUGAAGCCCUUAUCAACUUGUGACCACUGACUCCUAUCUGUUAUGUUAGGCCAUCCAAUGUCAUAUGCCUAUCUGAACCUUUGCACUGAAUAAGCCAUGUCCACAUACUUGUCCUACACUGGUUGCCUCCCUGUAGUGAUGACAGCCAAAGCAUGUGGGUAAGGCUUUCCUGUUACUUGCCACUGUCUACAUGUGCAAUUAUUCUCAUCUAGACAGACCACAUGUCUUCUGACAUCCUCAUCCUUGUAAAUCUCUGUUACCUUAGUUUGUUUAGGUCUGCCCUUAGUGACUUUAAGGUGUCCUAACCCCUUUGUGGCUGCAUUUAGCUGAUGAAUCAUAGCUAACAGUAUGACUCCAUGCAAAGGUCUAGAUAUCCUUCUCCUUUUCUCAAACAUGACCACACCCUUCUCCCUUAUAGCAUCAACCAUACAAUGCAAUGGCAGGUCCUUGAACUCCUUUAUCCAUGCAUUCCAUGACUUAGCCAAGUUGUUGUUGAUGUAGUCACACUUUAUAUUUGUAGGAAGAAUAGAAUUGGAUAUAAUAGAUUGAUUGUAUUGCAUUGAGGCCUCGGACGAUUUAUAUUGAGUACAGGACUUAGAGGGCAAGGCUCCCCCGGAUAUAUAUAUGGCAGUCUAUGAUACAUAUAUCUACAACUACCAAAUAUACUCUAACAUUCCCCGCAGUCACAGUAGGAGCACCGCAGAUGAUGAGACUGGAGAAGAAGCCGAAGGCAAAAAGCUGAUGGACUGACAUCUCCUCGCAGUGAUAAUGUCGGUGUGGUGCGGAUGCUGUGACUAGACAGAACACCGGCGAGUAACUCAUGCAGAUGAUAGCCCUUUGUGCCGAUGUCAAGGUAGCCAACCAGGAGGAUGAGUAGCCGUGGUCGAGGAUGCCGUGCAUAGAGUAGCCGUGGUCGACGUAACAGUUUAAGUUGCCGAAAACGAGGGAGCCGUACAUGAAGCCGCGGGCACAUGAGGAUGCGCCGAGAGAAUGGUGGCGCAUAAAGGAAGACACCAAAGACGAAGACGGUGACGCGUCGAGGCAAUUGUAGAGGGGGAGAGGGAUUCAAUGCUGAAGUUGAUGCAGCCAGGCUGACGUAGAUGACAGAGUUGGCAUCCCAGAGCACCGCUGGAUGGCCCUAGUCAUAGACCGAGUGAUAGGGCGCGGAGGAGCAGGAGGUGGCGACGAGGAGCAGGAGGCGCGGUCGGGGCGCUCGCUGGCCCGGUCGGGGAUGAUGGCACGCACCAGUGUUGCCAAUACUAGACAUGCGAGGUAGAGGGCACCAACCAUGUGUUAGCAUCUAAGGAACUAGCAGAGAAGGCCUCCAAGGUGGUCGCAGGCGCAGAAGAACGGCGAGGUAGAAGAUUCCGAUGCAGCCCGUGGUUGCUGGAGUAGACAAACGAGAUGGAGAUUAGACUGCGACGCUGGUGACGAGGUGGUGCUAGACGAAGCGAGGAGGUAGACCCGGACAAUCUGACGCAAGACCUGAUGAUCUGGAUGACGCGGCGGUGGAGCUCGAAGGAGACGGGGAAGAACUCGAACAACCUAAUAAAGACCAUGCAUGCAAGGUGCAGCGACUCGUAGUCGAUGAUGAGGUCGUUGAUGUGGUUGGCGGCAGUGAGGAUGCAACGCUGAAGGAGACCACGUUUGGGCCACUACUGCCCGAAGAGGCGAUGCAGUGGUAGCCCUCCAUACUCGGGCAAGAGGUGCGCAAUAUGAGGACGAACAUCACGGGAGUUGGGUGAAUCACGCACAUCGGCUGAUUAGAUCAAGUAUGCGCAAGGCGAGACGACGAUAGACAAAGUCGGCGGAGGUGUCCCGAUCAGUGGAGGCGAUGAUGAGCCGGUGGAGGUCGACAUGCGGAUGAAGUAGCGAGGAGAACGGUGCACAUGGGCGUCCCCUAGGACGUCAUCCAUCUCACCAAGCCGCAUAGUCGGAGACGGGGACGGAGCUGGUGAAGUCGACGCUGGUGUCGAAGUAGAGGCAACAGGACGACGGGCGGUGGGUGAUACAAUCCCGAUCUAUAAUCAAGCAAAAGAAAAAAUAAGAUACAGCAAGAGCAUCUCAUGUAGAACCUUCAGGUGCAUGUAGGCAGAAAAGAUGGAGUGGAGCAAGAAAAUCUCAUGCCAAGGGAUGGUGGCGCAAGGUGGUAGUGAGCGCGACGCAGGGGAUGUGCAGCCGAGGGCGACGACGCGAGGAGCAGAGGCGCGCGGCCGGGGGCGGUGGCGCGAGGAGCAGAGGCGUGAGAAGCAGAGGCGUGUGGCUGAGAUUGGUGGCACGAGGAGCAGAGGCGCAAGAAGCAGAGGCGCUCGGCUGAGGGCGGCGGCGCGAGGAGCAGAGGCGCGCGGCCGAAGGCGGCAGCGACGAGGAGGGAGGACGACACCCGGGUGAGUUUCUUCACGAUCUGAUCUUGCUUGACAACAGAGGGCGGCGGAUUAACAGGAUCCGUCGCGGAGACUGUGGGCGCUGCCCCCAGCGGAUGUCAUGGGCAACCUCCCCGGGAGCGCGCUAGGAGGCCAUCGAGGGGGCGCGCUGGAUGCGCACUGUGAAGGAUGGCCGGCUGCGCGCGGGAGGUAGGGAGGACGUACGGAAGCGGAAGGUUUGGCCUAAGAUCUAAAACCCUAAACUCGUGAUACCAUGUAGGAAGAAUAGAAUUAGGUAUAAUAGAUAGAAAGUAUUGCAUUGAAGCCUUUACCGGUUUAUAUUGAGUACAAGUGUUGACGCUAGAUUUCGACACGUAUGGAAUCGGCGUCAAGGAAGGAGAAGACUGGCUGAUGCGGCAGAUUGGAAGGCUGGAGCGAUUGGGCCAAUAUGGGCUUAAAGUGGAUCAGAGGAAGAAGAUAGAUAUUGGCCCGCGGGAGUAUAGUAACCAACUCCGAUACGAGUUGUGUUUGUAAAUAUUCGUUUUCGUUUAAAAUUAGAGAUAGAUCCUAGUCGGUUAAGAAAUUGGUUGUAACAGGCUAUAAAUAGCCAUCGUUAGAGAUUUGUAAAAGAACACAUCAAUCAAUACAACAAUCUACUAUUUCCUCGUACUUUACCUUCAAGUCGGCGACUUCGCCAAUACUUUUCAGUCGUACCAGGAGCGGGGAGACCGUCAAGAAAGCUCCUUUCCCAACUCCCCACCAGAUCACCAUCGCUGAAGACUCGGGCAAGAUGUCCGAUAUGGUUCAGCAGUCUGUCUACCAGGCCUUCAUCGAUCAGUCCCCGGUGAUGGCUAACACGGUAUACAAUGCCGUCAUCAGCUCCCUGGCCAAUGGCGUAUCUCAAGGGUAUCAGGGGCCAGCAUACGCCCCGCCCAUUACGGCCCCAAUCAGGAGCUUUCCAAACACAUCUCACUCGGCUCCUCAGCCGAUGCCAACUCAACAUGGAAUGCAUUUAGGAUACAAUGGUGCGCCAUGGUUUCAAUCACAAGCACCGCCGCAACCUGCUCAAGUUUCCUCCAUGCAAUCAUUGCCAUCAAACUCAGCGCCUUGGGGGGCACCAUCGACAUCGGCCGUUCCGGAUCAAUCGGUUGGCUAUGGAGGCUCUCCAAUCCAGGCACCAUUCCAAUCAGCCGCCCGGCCGACGGUUCCACAAUAUCAACCUGCCACGUCAGAAAUCGGCAGGGGGGGCAGAUGCUGCUGAGACGCUCCGAGGCGCGGCGCCGAUGAUACUGUAUGAUGAGACGGCCGGUCCGCUGUGCCACUAGAUGCCAACCGCUCAGCCGGCCACGUUACCGCAGAAUCCGCCACACGCCUUGAUUCAUCACCCGGUCAUCCCACCACCGAUCCACCAACAUGUGCCAAUUCCUCAACAAGUAAUUCAUCAGCAGCAAGUGGACUAGAUGGCAAGGAUAGCGGAAGUGAUUCAAGAUCAGUUCGGGUUGAAGCCGAAGGUACAAACCUACACGUACAGGACGCCAUACCCGCCUGCCUACGAUCUACUACCGUUUUCCCAUUGGUACAAAGUUCCCGACUUCACCAAGUUUUCGGGGCUAGAUGACACUUCAACUGUGGAGCACGUAAACAGAUUCAUCAUCUAAUGUCGAGAGAUGGCUGCGCAGGUGCUCUACGGGUGCGUUUGUUCUCGUCAUCCCUAUCCGAGUCGGCUUUCCAAUGGUUCACUACGCUACCGCCCAAUUCCAUAGUCACUUGGGCCGACAUGGAGAAACAGUUCCAUAAAUACUUCUACGCGGGAGUCCAUGAGAUGAAGCUCUCAGAUCGGACCAGUCUCAAGCAAAGGAGCGAUGAGCCAGUGUCCAAUUAUGUGCAGAGGUUCAGGGAGGUCAGAAACAAGUGCUACACCCUAGUCCUGACCGACGCGCAGCUGGCCGGUAUUGCCUUCCAAGGCCUCCUGCCGCACAUCAAAGAGAAGUACGCUUCCCAGGAGUUCAAGAGCCUGAGUCAAAUCGUUCACCGAUUGGCCGGACAAGAAGUACGCCCUUUUGAUCAGCGGAGAAAUUUUCAGAAGAAGGUGGCGUACUUAGAGGGAUCUGAAUCUGAGGAGGAAGCGGAAAUCAGCCUAGCAGAGUGGGUUAAAGGAAAGAAGCCAAUAUCGUGUCCUUUCGGGAAAAAGGAACAAGAGGGGUUCGGUUUUGACACGUCAAAGGCCGACAAAAUUUUCGACCUACUUCUCCAAGACGGGCAGAUCAAACUAUCACCCUAUCAUACGAUCCCAUCGGUCGAGCAGCUGAAAAAGAUGAAGUAUUGCAAAUGGCACAAUGCCACGUCCCACAACACAAACGAGUGCAAGAUCUUCCGUUAGUAGAUACAAUCGGCCAUCAAGCAAGGUAGGCUCAAGUUCGAGGUCCCGACAAAGCCAGCAAAGCCGAUGAAGAUUGAUCAGCAUCCUUUUCCCACUAACAUGGUUGAUACGGGAAGGAACGCGCUUCAAACCAAGGUGCUGACGUCGGAAUCGGCUAAAAAGAGUGGCGCUGUGGACCCCAGAAAUCAGGCUUCUAUGGAAGAUGUCAAGGGGAAGCGACGGGUUGACGAUGAGGGUGAAGGAUUGGAAAGGCCGCGCAGACCUAUUACUUCCCAAUUUCUGCUCGACAAAUAUCAGCAGCAACAGGAAAGUUUGAGAUAUCACUAAGGAAUGAUACGACGACACGAAGAUCAUUAGUGAUGCCCGUUCUUCAUCCAUUGCUAGGAAAAUAACCUCAGAUUGCCAUCGGCCAAUAAUUGCCCGGAGUGCAGCGGUCCAUAUCGCAAUAAUUGCCCGUUCAGGAGGUCUCGCUCCAGGGAUAGAGGAUCAGAGCCAAUCAGUAGAAACUGGCGCGAGCAAGAGGAUCGGCGCCUUUCAGUGCGUGAUCGGCUGGGGGGCAGAGUUGUCCGAUAUGAUCGGCCAAGGGAUAGACGCGAGCAAUAUGAUAGGCCGGGGGCAGAUCUGACCAACAUGACCAACCAGGUGGCAGAGUCAGCGCACACGAUCAGUAAGAAGAGAUGGCCGAUGCUCGGGUGUCAGAUGAAAACCCCCUGGGACGGGAACCAGACUGGGAACGCGCGAGACCGCCGGCCAAACCGGUGAACCCCAAGUGGUGCAAUGACGGAUUUACCAAAUCCCAACAGCGAAGAAUCCAAUGCCUGCGCCAAUGGGAACAAUAGGAAGAGGAGCAGACGCAGAUGGUGGGAAAGAAGGAUAGGUCUCAAGUCUGGCGCCCCAAAAGAAACAACAAUGAGGAAGAUGCCAGCCAGGAAUCGGCAGCUGACGUCAGCAUGGUGUUCAUCUUGCCGAUGGAGUUCAUGGCUCCCGCCGAUCGAUAUGACACGACAAAGAUGGAGGAACAGAUGGCGCAAUUGGCUUUGGAGCCGUUGACAGCCACUUUUGAGAAACCCGAAGAUGAAAAAUGACAACACCUUAAGGCACCGUUCCUCAAAGGGCACGUCAACGGUCGACCCGUCACCAGGCUACUAGUAGAUGGAGGCGCUGUAGUCAAUAUCAUGCCGUACGCCAUGUUCCAAAAGCUGGGUAAAAGCGACGAGGAUCUAACCAAGACGGACAUGAUGCUCAAGGACUUCGAAGGCAACGUAUCUCCCGCACGUGGAGCGCUUUGUAUCGACCUCACCAUCGGCAAUAAGACCCUUCCCACUACCUUCUUUAUUAUUAAUGGCAAAGGAUCCAACAAUAUGUUGCUCGGUCGCGAUUGGAUACACGCAAAUUGCUACGUCCCGUCUACAAUGCAUCAAUGCCUCGUACAAUGGGUCGGUGACAACAUCGAGAUAGUCACCGCCGAUUCCGCCUAUAGUGUUGCUGCGGCCGAUACGCAACAGUGGAGCUGCGAACACGUCAAGUGCAUUUCCGGAAGAACUUGGGACACCGAUUUCCUGAAAGUGUUCGAUUUUGGCCUACAGCCGAUCCGAGCAGUCGGCUCUGAAGAUUCAGAUUAGAUUGAUAAGUUCGUCCGAGAAGAUGGGAAGUUGGGGCACGGGUUUAUGUCGGCCGAUUCAUUAGAGAUGAUAGAUCUAAGUGAUGGCACCAGACCGAGGCCGACGUACAUUAGUGCUAACUUGGAUCCAGAAUAUAAGUGUAAAUUGACAAAUUUAUUGAAAGAAUUUAAAGAUUGUUUUGCUUAGGAAUAUCAUGAGAUGCCUGGUUUAGACCGGUCUAUUGUUGAACACCGGUUGCCUAUAAAGCCGGGAUAUCGGCCAUAUCAGCAGCCCGCACGACGAUACAAUCCUAAAAUUCUACCUGACAUAAAGGCCAAAAUUACAAGACUGAUUGAAGCAAAAUUUAUUCGGCAGUGCCAUUACGCCGAGUGGAUCUCUAACAUUGUACCCGUAUACAACAAAAACGGAAAGCUGCGCGUAUGCAUUGAUUUCAGGAACCUUAAUCAGGCCACGCCGAUGGAUGAAUAUCCAAUGCCAACGGCAGAUGUGUUGAUAGAUGUCGCCACAGGAUAUAAAGUCAUCAGUUUCAUGGAUGGUAAUGCUGGGUACACUCAGAUAUUAAUGGCCGAAGAAGACAUUUCAAAAACGGCUUUCAGGUGUCCUGGCCACCUCGGUUUAUUCGAGUGGGUAGUUAUGACCUUCGGAUUGAAGAACGUCGGCGCUACAUAUCAACGGGCAAUGAAUUACAUCUUCCACAAACUCAUCGGCGUCCUGGUGGAAAUCUACAUCGACGAUGUCGUGGUCAAAUCAAAAGGGCAUCAAGAACAUCUAGUCGAUCUACGAGAAGUGUUGGAAUGCAUGAGGAAGCAUGGGUUGAAAAUGAACCCAAACAAAUGCGCAUUCGGUGUAUCGGCCGGGCAGUUUCUGGGAUUUAUGGUUCACAAGCACGGGAUAGAAGUCAACUGGAAAAUCAUAACAGCCAUCAACAAGGUUGUGGCAGCACAGAACAAAACUGAGUUGCAAUCCCUAAUCGGCAAGGUUAAUUUAUCAGAAGAUUCAUAUCCAACUUGUCAGGGCGCAUUCAAGCCUUCACGCUGUUAUUGAAGUUAAAGCCCAACCAGGAGUUUGUAUGGAGAGAUGAACAAUGGAAAGCACUGGAAGACAUCAAGCGAUAUCUAGUCUCGCCACCUGUGCUGGUCCCACCACAAGCUGACAAGCCGUUCAGAUUGUACUUAUCGGCUGACGAGCGGGCCAUCGGAUCGGCGCUAGUACAGGAGUUCGAAGGAAAGAAACGGGUAAUAUAUUAUGUUAGUAGAAGACUUCUGGACGCGGAAACAAGAUAUUCCCCGGUAGAGCGGCUAUGCCUAUGUCUUUAUUUCUCAUGCACCAAGCUCAGGCACUACCUGUUAUCGGCAGAGUGCAUAGUCGUAUGCAAGGAUGACGUGGUAAAGUAUAUGCUGUCAUUGCCGAUUUUGAAAGGACAAAUUGGAAAGUGGAUCCUGGCUCUGUCAGAGUUUGACCUAAGGUACGAAUUGGCCAAAUCUGUCAAGGGCCAAGUCAUGGCCGAUUUCGUGGCCCAACACUGCGGACCAGAAGUCGCCGUCGUUGAGCCAGCUCCAUGGACUCUAUUCUUUGAUGGUUUGUCAUGUGGUGCCGGAUCAGGAAUCAGCAUCGUUCUCAUAUUGCCUCGGAGGGCAAGCUAUGAUUUCUCUCUGCUGAUAGAAGCUUCCGCGACCAAUAAUUAGGCGGAGUACCGAGCUGUCCUAAAAGGCAUUCAAUUAUUGAGAGAGAUCAAAGCCGACACUGUGGAAAUUUUUGGGGAUUCCAUGCUCAUCGUAGACCAGCUAACGGGAAGAUCAGAAUGUAAAGAUGAUGUCCUGCGGAUUUACCACAGAGAUUAUCUCCAACUUUUAAAAGAGUUCAAGACUGCAGUUAUUAAGCAUAUUCCCAGAGAUUAUAAUGAAGAGGCUAAUAGGCUCGCCCAACACACAUCCGGGUAUCGGCCAAUUCAGAGCGCCAUGAUUCUGGAACUCGCAGCCGACGAUUGGCGAAAGGAGAUCGCUGAUUACUUAAGGGAUCUAUCCAAGAAAGUGGAUCGGCGAGUACGUUUUCAAGCCACAAAGUAUGUGCUACUUGAUGAUGAUUUGUUUUACUAAACGAUUGAUGGAGUUCUGCUUAAAUGCCUGGGGACAGAAGAAGCAAAGAUCCUAAUGGGAGAAAUCCACGAAGGCAUGUGCGGAGCUCACCAAUCAGCUCAUAAAAUGAAGUGGAUGAUUAGGAAUAACGGAUAUUAUUGGCCGACGAUACUCGAAGAAUGCUUGAAAUAUUAUAAAGGUUGUCAAGACUGUCAGAAGUUUGGCAACGUACAACGUGCGCCGGCAUCGGCUAUGAAUCCAAUAAUCAAGCCAUGGCCAUUCAGGGGUUGGGGAAUAGACCUCAUCGGACAGAUUUAUCCUCCAUCAAGUAAGGGGCACAAAUUCAUAUUGGUAGCCACUGACUACUUUACCAAAUGGGUGGAGGCAAUCCCAUUGAAGGCUGUGACAUCGACCGCUAUGGUCGCGUAAGGGACCACAUUGUUUAUCGUUUCGGUAUUCCUCAAACUAUCACAACCGACCAAGGGACGAUGUUCACUUCGGGAGAAUUCGAGGAGUUCACUGCUGAUAUGGGAAUCAAGUUACUGAAUUCUUCUCCAUAUUAUGCUCAAGCUAACGGCCAAGCUGAAUCAUCCAAUAAGGGGAUAAUUAAGUUGAUCAAGAGGAAGAUUGAGAUACAACCUAAGAAGUGGCACUUAUGUCUGAACGAGGCUUUAUGGGCUUACAUGAUGGCCUGCCACGGGGCAACUAAAAUAUCUCUUUAUCAAUUGGUGUAUGGUCACGAGGUAGUGUUGCCUUGAGAAUUAAGGAUAGGGUCAAGAUGCACAUCGCUUCAAGACCAGUUGACGGCCGACGACUAUUCCCACCUCAUGAAAGGAGAGCUCGAUGACUUGGCAGGUCAACGGUUGAGGGCUCUGAUCAGCAUUGAAGAGAAUAAAAAGAGGGUGGCCAGGUGGUACGACAAGAAGGUUAAAGUCAAGCAAUUCUCCCAAGGGGAUUUGGUAUGGAAGUUAGUGCUGCCGAUAGGAUCCAAGGAUCCCAAGUUUGGUAAAUGGUCGCCCACUUGGGAAGGGUCGUAUAAAAUCGGCUGAUGCGCUCUGGGAAACGCAUACAUACUGGAGACGAUCAAAGGAGAAGAAUUCACAAGGGCCUUGAACGGGAGGUACCUAAAGAGAUAUUAUCCUAGUAUAUGGGUCGACGCAUAACUAAGUUACGAAGAGUAUCAAGAUGGCACGGCCAGUUCCUAUUAGAUCUUAUAGCCGAUGCAAAGAUGAAAUCGCCUUGAGAACAAAACAUUCGUUCAAGUUGGCCGAUUUAUUGUUCAGUGUGAACAAUGGGGUACACGGGCGACAUGGUACAAGUCGCCCUUAGAACAAAAGUACCAACACAUCUAUUAACCACGCUUUUUCUUUAGUUCCCUCUCUACCCGACUUAAUUCUAUCAAGAGGCAGGUGCUCCUUUCCUCCAGAUCCUUCAUCGUGGCUUCAGCCUCAACUUGGCACGGAAGAGGAUGGCUCUGAUCUAGCGGUGGUUGAGACGUUCCAACUGAGGCGUCUUCAAGGGUGAUUGGGCGAGGGAGUGGAUGACUCCUUUCGAUUGGUGGCCGCCUGUAGUAGUUGGCGUCGAUGUGGUCCCAGAUCCGCCGUUCAGCGGGGACGUGGUCCCUGAGUUCUUCGCGAUGGGCUCUGAUCAAGUCCUUGUCCUCCUGCGACAACAAUUCAUCGGAGUGCAUGAUCUCGAUUGCUCGUUCCAGUUCGGGACUAAGGCGUCUCGGCUGAAAAUUGACAAGCAACCUCUCGAUGUCAGACUGAUCAAAAUGUCGAAUCAGGGAAUGGAGGGCGAAGGAAGGAUCCAGUACCUGGUUGACGGAGGCGGAGGAGAAGGAAGAAGACGAGGAAUACAUCUUGGUGAACAGUCCGAUGGUAUGAACUACUGGACGAGAAGAGGACGAGCGAGGCGAAUGACUUGGGAAGUAAUACGAGAUCUCGUAUUUAUAGAAAGAAAAGGGGCAAGAGUUUGGUAAGAUGCAUCUCAUCGGAGUAAAAGGGGUAAUAAAUGAAAGUCCGCCACGAAGGACGCAUCAGAGUUGGAUUCAUGCAUCAAACGGUCAAAAGACUUUAAUGUUUUUAUGGAGCGGCCAACACUUUUACAGUUCAUCCAAGGAGGGCAUUAAUGGCCGCAAUCGCUCGUUGCCUAACUUGAUCGGCCGAGUCUAAUAUCCGCUGGUCGUCAUCGGCUGAUCCUGGGACUUCUGGCAUAUGGAGAUGGAGUCUGAUUGCUUCGUGGGCUAGGUUUUGUCUCUCUUGCUUUAGUUCAGUGAUGACAGAGGAAAGGUCUUGGAGUCUCUUCUCUUCAACGGCUAUGUCCUUGGUCACCUGCUCCAUCUCCUUGGCGAGCUCCGCCCUUCGGCGCUUGAGGCGAUCUAUAGCACCAACAAUACCCGGGUGGGAACUUUCAAGAAAGUUGAUCCGGUGAUGUAUGUCUUGGGCUCGAUGCUUGUAAGAGUCUUCCUCCUCAUGAGCUUUAGCUAGCUUGGCGCGAUCGGCCAUGUGACUCAAAGCCCUGAACACUGGGAUCCGCAUUGAUUCAAUGUAUGCGACUGGCACCAAGGCUUCUUCCGCCUCUUCUGGGACUCAGCCACUGAUAUCACUGAAGAGCUGCCGAAUUGGCGAAGCGUCCUCCACCAAUCGACCGAUGUCUUCUUGAAGGAGGGUCCAUAUGCUCUCAAGUUUGGUGCGGACGCCAUCAGGGAUUGAGCUCAGAGUGACCUGACGUGAAGCAACCUCCUCGUCAUCAGAAAGUGCGACCGCGAAGGAGAAGAGACUGUUAUUGGGAGUAUCUUGUUCCUGCAGGAAAGUAAAAUGAUAAGCAUCGAUUAGCCGACGGUAAUAGGAAAAUCGGCCGAUUCGGGUAACAAGUCUCUUACCUCUUUGAAGCGGAUUUCUUCUGUUUGCGUCAACGGGAGUGCCGCCCUUGGUUCAGGAGCUGGUGCGACCGGCUCAUCAGAAGAGGAGGACUCAAUGAUUAUUGGCGUCCUGCUUGGACCGGCCUCCUGGAAAGGUACGAGGAGCAAGUUCUUAUGAGUAUAAUACAAGUGUUUAGAUCUGAUGACAUGUGGUGAUUGCCGUACCUCUGAGGUUUCCUUGGUCGAUGGCUAUUGAGAAGGUACAAUUGAUGUACCAAGGGUAGCCUGCAUCAGAAUCAGUCAAGCUUUUGGUUAAGUAUUAAAAAAUUGAGUGAAGGGAUUCUUUACCUCAGUGGGAGGAUUUACUGGUGCUCCGAUUUCUGCUUGGGGCGUUGGCAAUUGCUGCGGAGGCACCGGGGCAUUUUGGGCAGCCUAAUGUAAAGAAGAAGUCAGUAUAGGAAGAAUACUCAGGAGAAUGUGAACACAAGGUUACCUGAAUUGCUUCUAAUACCAGUGAUGUGGUGGCCGCUCCAGCUUCUGUAGCAGCUUGGGGAUCAACCUCCUCAAUGACCGGGAGGAUCGGCGCAGCCAAAGUUUUCGCUGAUGCCGUCGCAGAUUGAACGGCCGAUUCCGUGCGAGCAUGCACUCGGCGGCUUGUCUUCUUGACAGUUUUCUUCGGCGUUUGCUUUAAUCGGCUGGUGGUGAUAUCAUCAAUGGAUGGGGUGUGGUGGCCGAUGAGUGGGAAUUCCGUAUACGGGUAACGGUUCUCUAUCGGCCUGCCACUCCGGCUGCGUUUUAGGGGGAGUUGACUCCCGGACUAUAAAAGAAAGCAAGAGUUAGCGACAAAUUUGUAGCAUAAGAAGGAAAAUAACAUUAGAACCGGCUGAAGGAAAAGCAGUACCUCUGCACUCGGGUCGAUGUUCUCAGGAUCUAGAUCAUUGCAAUAUGUCGCGGGAGAUACACAAAACAGAUGUUGCUUCCAUUCUGCCCACCAUAAUUUGAAUGGUUGGACAGCAAAAGGAGCUACUAUCCAGUUGUUCAGAUCGAUGGUGCUGGAAUCAGGCACUCGGUCACACAGCCGACUGUAGUCGAGACCCUUGGUGAGCCUAUCUCGGAAUUUCACGCGACCGACGAAAUAGACUCGAAUCGGCAGCUGACCUAGGCCGAACUGCCGUGCCGCAACUGAUGGGUUAUAAAAUUCAUAAGUAGGGGCAUCCUUCCCCGAGAAAAAAUUCGCUGGUAAGAUCCCCGAUUUAAUCAAGACGUCCAUAAGAUCAUUAUUAAAGGUGUUGGACGUCGAAUCGUAACAGAAGGGGAGCUCACUCUGUCCUCUGAUAUGGGUACCAACUGGUGGUUUCCUUACUGAAGCCGUUGUAGAAACAUCUGAAGUACUCGGCUACUUUGGUGGCGGUCAACUGGCAACCAGGGAAGACUGAUGCUGCUUCGCCGAAAGAGGUGCAUCGACGCCGUACGGUGGGGUUUUCUUCCGAUUCAAUGUUGGGGAAGGUCAUGUGCUCCACCCGAUGCUGAGAGAUCUUGCUCAUAUACAAGUUGAGCCAGAGAUUGAUGAACCACCAGGGGCCACCUGGGUUUCCAAUCGGCUCUCCCUUGGAUAGUUUGACACCGAUUUGGUGCAGCAUGUCAUAGGCCGAUCCCAGCAGAUCUUUCCCGAGGGGGACAGAGGCUCCUCUUGAUAAUGCUUUGGCCAAAGCUUGUGUGUUGGAAGACAGACCGACUGCCCUGCCACAGAAAAGAUGUUUCUCCAACCACAUCAUCAGGAAGGCCGCGUAUUCUUUCUCUGAAACAGCCCCGGUCUUCAUUCAUGUUGUUCUUAAUGAACCCCUUCCACCCGCCGAUUGCUUUUGUCUCCAGCCGAUGGGUUGGCUUGACCAAAUAAUGGAAGGGGGUAUCGGGAGAAGAAAUGUCAAGGCUGGUCAACAUUACAACAUCGGCCAAAGUGGGGGUCAUAGGCUCAUGACCGAAAAGGAAAGCAUUGAGGGCGUCGGACCAGAAAUAGGAGGCCGCCAUCACCAAGGGUUCAUUUCUCUCCAUUUGAGACAGAGAGAGAUUGAUGCAUUGGCUGAUUUUUCGUUCGUCCCAUUGAACUCUCUUGGAAUUGGCUAUCCGUUGGUACCAUUCUUUCCAACUGGAGGUUUCAUUCGGCCAAGAUCUAAAGGUGCCUGACCACUGAUCCAAUUCCAUUAGGGAUUGCUUAAAUGGGAUUAUGUGAGUUUCUAAGUUUAUCAGAUUGGUUGGGUCUGGAUUCCCCAUAGGACCUAGAUAGAUGAGGCCGGGGGCUUCGGAAAGGCGAAUGGUGAUUUGGUGUCUAACCACCUAAAAAAGGUAAAAAGGGAAGAACUAAGAAUGGAUCUAAAACAAAUGCCUGGGCGGUAAAGGUGAAAAGAAAAGUUCCGGGUGAAUACCUCCGGGAUGAAAGUCAUCGUCGCUGACGGGGCUGCUGGUGGAGCUACCGCCGCCGAGGCCGCCGGUGGAACCUCUGUCGCCGAUGGAGCUGUUGCCGCCACCGAUGGAGCUGCUGCCGCCGCCAUUAGAGCUGCCGCCGGGGUUUCUGUUGCUGGAGGGGUUGUUGAUGGUGCCACAAUUGGGAAGAUGAAGCGGAAUGCGGAUGAGAAGGAGGUCACCGGAAGGUGUGGUUGGAAACCAAAAGGGCGCCGGAAGAAGAUGGAAACUAGUGCGCCAAGAAAGGAAGUUACUGGCUUGUCAAGAAGAAGUGCGGGCAUGCCAGUAUUUAAAGACCAUUCGAGAAGGGGUAAAGGCAGGAUUUUUACUGCGCCAUCUACACGAAUUUCGGGGGAGUGGUUGUCUCAGGCGCCCGUUUCGAAAGGAUUGCAAUCACCAGGCAGGAGACCGCGAAACGGAAGGAUAUUUUUAAUGCGUUUGUUUCGGAGGAGAAGUUGAAAAGGAAUUUUGAAGUCAAAGCUAUGUUUUACUCCGAAACUGGAGGGCAUGUGUUGACGCCAGAUUUCGACACGUAUGAAAUCGGCGUCAAGGAAAGAGAAGACUGGCUGAUGCGACAGAUUGGAAGGCUGGAGCGAUUGGGCCAAUAUGGGCUUAAAGUGGAUCAGAGGAAGAAGAUAGAGAUUGGCCCGCGGGAGUAUAGUAACCAACUCCGAUACGAGUUGUGUUUAUAAAUAUUCAUUUUCGUUUAAAAUUAGAGAUAGAUCCUAGUCGGUUAAGAAAUUAGUUGUAACAGGCUAUAAAUAGCCAUCGUUAGGGAUUUGUAAAAGAACACAUCAAUCAAUACAACAAUCUACUAUUUCCUCAUACUUACCUUUAAGUCGGCGACUUCGCCAAUACUUUUCUUCUUUCACGAGUUCGUACGGGUUGGCAGGGCUGCAUCGAAACGAUCUCCGGCCGAUUCUGUAAGUUCCAUUUAUCGAGUAAUAUCUAAGCUUUAACUUCGGGCGCAUCGCUGUCGUUUCGUUUAGAUUUAUUCACCAGUUAUCGAUAUUUACUAGAAUUAUAGGUUUUAUCUGUUGUUCUAGUUUUAUCACCAGUUAUCCAGCUUGAGAUUUGAAUUGUCGGCUUUGCUAUUGUUAUUUUUGUUCAUUACUACCACAUAGCCGAUUAGAUCUGUUUCAAGUGUUAUUUUCGUAGCUUUGUCUAGUUUACUCUAGUAGUUUUCUUUACAAUCGCUACGUGAUUGUCAGUUGUAUUAUAGCCGAUUAUCUUUUUAUAGCAAAUCGGCCGAUUCACUGAUACGCUCCUCGAGAUCAGAACUUUAGCCGAUCGGAACCCCUGGAAUUUGACACGUUUUCUUCCUUGCCAAUCAACAUGUUAGAUUGGCUGGUAUACCGCGCGAACCACACCAGGGCGAUCACCCGAACAGGAGCUAAGCAGAUUCUCCCGGGUCGUGUGUCCAAUGUUGAGGGUCAAUCAGCUUACUUUUAGCACGAACAACAAGACUUGGGGGACAAGGCUUCCCCGGAUACAUAUGGCAGUCUACAAUAAGUAUAUCUACAACUACCAAAUAUACUCUAACAACAUCUGGUGAGAACUUUGAUCUAGCCCACAAAAGGUUGUGAUGGUCUUCCAGCCAUUUCUCUACAUCAGGGCUGGUUGCAAAAACAUUGUCUAGGAAAUACUUAUGCUUUUCUUGUGAGUAUGCUCUAGCUGCAGGCCACAUGUCUGAUGCAUAAACUUCUCCUGUGAAAUUCUUCUUCAUGUUCUCCAUAAGAUGAUUGAAGCAUUCCCUGUAUUCUGCACAUGGAAAUACAGUUUUGAUUGCAACUUCUAAUCCUUUGCAGGCAUCUGUGCAUACUGCUAACCUUGGAAGAACACUAAUAGCUUUCCUUAGUUGCUCCAUGAACCAAAUCCAAUUCUCUUUGGUUUUUGAAUCAAAGAAACCAUGCUAAUGAAAACAUCCAAUUGUGACCAUCAAGAGCUAAGGCUGCAAGCAUGUGACCAUUCCACAUUCCAUUUAGUGCAGUGGAGUCAAUACCAAUGUAAGGCCUGCAGCCACCUAAGAAACCAUCUAUGCUACCCUUGGAAGCAAAAAAAAUCUACUAAAAUGCUUAUUGUCACCAAUUUUUAUAUAAUCUAUCUCAACAACACUGCUAGGACUUCUCAUUUCAACCUCAGCCUUAAACCUGUACAACCAGUCAAAAUUGUCAACCCAUUUCCCAAAAAUUUUAUCUGUUGCCCUCUGUCUACCAUACCAUACAGUUUCAAACUGAGUCUGAAUCUUAUACUUGUCCUCCAGUUCCUCCUUUAGUUCUUUAGCACCCAUCCCAAGCUUCCUCUUCAGUAAAGGGAUAGCUCUCUCAGCAACCCAAGCCUGGUUUGCCAUUCUUCCCAACACUCUACUUGUUGAAGCACACUGAUGAAGAUACUUAUUUAUUUGAACCUGCAGUAAUGCAAACAAACAUUACAGUAGUUAGUCUAACAUGAAGCUCAGAUGUAACUGCCUAACUGUAAUAAAUUGCAUAAAUAUAACAUGAAAUAGUUAGUAGGUGUACCCUGACACAACCAUCCAAUUGUGUCUUAGCCCUAAUAAUCUAAGGGCAUGCAGUAGCCUUGCAAAAACCCCUGAACCUAGACUUGUAAGCAAAAGCCCCUGAACCUGGACUUGUCAGACUUCUCAGUGCCUAGCUCAAAUUCAUUCACAAUGGCAUGCUAAUUAACUACUAGUCUAAAUUCAACCAUAGAAGGAUACAUUAUGCCAAUAGACAUUUUUGGAUUAUCCCUAUCCCGAUCCAUAACAGGUUCAAUAGGAUCACUGUCAUCCAUAGUACAGCUUGAAUCUCUCAUGUCCUCUUCCAUUUCUUCUGGAAUGGGAAUUUCUAUUCUUGUUGUCUGUUCUGCUCUCUCAUCUACAUCUUUGAAACCCAUAGCCUCAAACACUCUAUCUUCAUCAGCCAGUACAGUUGCUUCACCAUCUUGAUCAGGCUCAGGGAGGAUAACCAGAGAGUCCCAAUCCACAAUCUCAGGUGCCAAAUUUUCAUGACAUGUCUGCUCUGCCUCUGCAUUAUAACUAAAUAUCUCACCUAAGCCUUGAGCAACAUUAGGUACUGGUUGUGCUUGGCUGGUGACACCUGAACUGGCCAUAGAUCCAUCUCUAGUUUCACAAUCUUGUUCCUCCUGCUGAUAGCCCUUUUGAACUACUUGCACUAACACAUUAGCCAACCUGUCAUGAAACCUGGACCUAAUCAUCUUCUCAAAAUGCUCAUUCCUUCUGAUCUUCCACUGAGAACUACUAUCACUAUCAACAACCCACACAACAAGUGUCUGACUAGGAUCCCAAAUGAUCUUACUCGCCAUUUCAGUAACAAAUGAAUCAAGAUUGUACCCACUAUAUCUAUCAAUCCACAUAUCAUGCCAUUGCUCAGCCAUAUCUAAAGCACCAGAGUACUCCAAAAUUGACUUAAAUUUUUCACAUUAACCAUUUUCUAAAAGCAUUGCCAGGAUCAAUCCUGACAUAAUCAUAAACAAUGAAACAAUUUGACCCUAGAGACAUGAAUAUGCGGUGCAGCGACUUCAAGCGCGCUUACCAUGGAGGGCAUUCGCUAGGCUCCAUGUUCAAUCAAUGCAAGAACCUCACAUCUACUAGAAUACCUCCCUACAACGAUGAAAUAAAGCAAAUCAGGGGAGCUCAAGGGAAUCUAGAACCCCACAUCUAGGAGAACACCAUUCUUGGAGCAAGCGUGGAGCAAUUACCUUCAAUCCGUCACCAUCGCCGUCGAAGCCGACACCGGCGUCGCCGUCGCUGUCGGGGUCCAGCUACGGUUCGAGCAGGUGGUGAAUGGAUGGUCUGGCUCAGUCGGGACGGGGACAGGCGGUCGGGCAGUCUAAAGGAUAAGUCCAGAGAAAGCCGGGUCUUUUCGCGUGCCCCCGUCCAGCGUGUAUGCGUGACAUGGCGCUCCACAAAUGCAAAAAAUGGCGAAUGUGUAACAAAAUCUUCUCUUCGGUGGUAAAAAUGUAGACGAAAUUCUAAGAGUGAUUUUCAAAGGUGUGCCAUUUCUAACGGUGGCAAUUAAUUAAAUAUCCCGGUUUGGGAUAGUUGGGAACAUGAAGAAACUAAGUGGUGCACAAGGAUCUAUGGAAAACGAAGAGAUCGAGGGAUGAACAUGGGUGAGAUUCACUGUAGAAGGGAUGAGGGAGAAGAAAGGAGAAAAGGGAAACAGAACCGGCAUACCGCCUAACAGUCAAGAUUAUCCGUAGCCGCAUUUGGCUAGGUUUGAUGUCCCUCGUCAUGUAGACUUCGUAAAAAAAAAACAGCUGGAGUAAAUGAGCGUGAGAGAUGAUGUUGUAGACCCUUUUUGUUGACACAGAAUGGAAAGGGCAGCAUAUUUUAUCAGCAUGCAUCAUAUUUCGUACAGAAUUUUCAUUUCACUUCACUCAUACAUUUAUCUGGACUGAAUUCCCGUAAUCUAAAAAAAAGUAAGAAAGCAGCCCUUUCAUCUGACAACUAGUGCAGAAAACUGAACCGGAGGUUCAAUGAUCUUGCAUUACGUGAUCAAAGUACAUUACUUUUCCGCCCUUUUCAAUUGCAACUCUGACAGUAGAAUGAAAGAAUAUCAUGAAUAUGAACCUACAAUACAUCCCUACUUACAUACAAAAUCGUCUAAGAUCAGUCUGCAUUUAGCUGGUAUGUGUCACAAGGUUCCUGCAAAGAAAGGAGGAGAUUAUUAGAUGGUUCAUCACAAAAAGAUCAUCUGCAAGGAACUGCACAGCUAAGAUCCAUAUUCUUUGGCACAGUAGCACAUGCUCAAAUUCAUGCAAAUAGCCUAGUCAUUAAUACUCCAAUAGUUCCAUUAUUCAAAAGUAAAAGCCUAGCAUCAUUGUAACCCAAUGGUAUUUUGUAGCAUCAUUCUUCAAUUAUACUUAAUCUUCCAAUUUGUAUGUUAAAUCUGUUUUAUGAUAUUUUUAGUGAAAGAACACAACAAUUAAUUUUGACGAAUAAAGUUUCACAGUUUUUGUUGUUCCCAAAAAGGUACCGCUGCUUCCACAACACAAAGUUCAAAAACAACUUAAAGUUGCCCAUGCAUGUCAAUCUUGGAAACAAUGAUGAAUAACCAAUAUCAGGCAUAAAUUCCAGGAACAACUUCCGUGCGGUCCAAAUUGCUAAAAAUUGGAACUGAACUUUGAAUUGAAGCAAACAAGAGAGUUAGAAACAAAAAGCGAUGGGAAUCCAUCAUCUGUCAGUAAUUACUUACCCUUCAUCCUUGUGCUACUUGUUUUUGCUGCUUGCUGCUGGGACAAAUCAGUCAGUGACAAAGGAGUUAGUGGCGGGGAAGAAAUAUCACUGCCAUCUCUGCUAUUUCUAGCCUCCAACAAUCUGUUCACAGUGAUGAUGGGUAUCCUCUGGCUAUUUGAGGGUAUGGAAUAGCUGCGAGUGAGGGUAGCAGGUGGUAGUGGAAGUGGCGAGGGGCUUUGUGAUGCCGUCGGCGAUGCACGGGCUGGUGCUGCAGGAAUUUGAGUCUGACGUUUUGAUACCAGAGGACCAGAGUAACCGACCAAGCCAGAAGGUCUGAGGGACUCCACAUUGGCUGGAGGCCUAGGAAGCUCAUGAAGUUCGCUGAUCUUUGGUGAUUUUGUUGAAUGCCGCAACAUCUUGGGGGAAACUUUUGGGGACACAGAUGAUGUCUGCCGAGAAUGACUUUGAGGGUUUCCUGGCAUCACAUGUUGUGCCAUGGGUGACCUGCGAUCGUUCAGAGAAGAUGGCUUGCUUAACCCUGGUUUGCUUGGAAUUGGACCAGACCAAGAUUCCCUCUUCAUCUUCUUGUAAUCAGAAACUGAUUGGGAGAACGUCGACAUCCCCUCAGUACUUGAUGGCAUUUUCACAUGGCCACUCGGCCUAAACAAUGGAGAUGAAUGCCACAGAUUCGUUGCCACAUGAGGUUUACUUUCAAACUGUUGCGAAUGAUGUGAUCUGUGAGCACCUACUGUUCUGGGGGUUUUGUCAUCAACUGGGGUUGGGAGUUUGUACGAAUGUUUGGCUGAAGAUGGCUUCAUUUGCCAAAACCUCUCAGAAGGAUCUGGUAAAUUGCCCGCAAAAAUUGGUGCUGAAUGUGUGUUAAACUCAGGCUUCACUUGUGGAGUUAUAAUAUCUCCCUUGUUUUGUUUGACCUCUUCCUGCAUAUAAGAGGACAGCAAUAUUAUUAUCUUAAGAAUAUGCCCCCGAUUUGAUUUAUAAGUUAAGUAUCAAGAAAUCCUAAUAUUCUCUACACCGAGUCUAAUUGUACCUGCUUGCUUUCUUUUAUUGGCUGUGGGGAAUUCGUCACAUCUCUUUUAUCCAACUGUGCACAAAAAUUACAGUAAAUAAUUAAAAAAAGACAAUGCAGAUCAUUGACAUUAAUUCUCCAUUGUACAGAUAAAAUUUAAACACAAGAAUGUAAGAGAGAAGUGUAGUAUCAAGAAAAAGAUCAGGAAAAAAAUACAGCAACAGCCAUACUGUUUAUUUUAUGAAGUAGAAAAUAAAACUGAUAAAACUAGAAGCUAAAUUAAUAGGCUGAACCUCAUAUAUCAAUCAUUCAUUAAAUUGCAUUAUCACACGCUAACCACAUUUCAUCUAGCAGUGGUGAACCCAUGAAUAACGUGCAACUCUUUUUUAAACUAGCCUUUGAGGCCAUAUUUGUUCUUCUAAUCAGCUCAAACAGAAAACUGUGGAACUGGAGUCAAAUCUACCUCAAAUGCUAUACAAAUAAUGCUUAAUUACAGGGUAUUUAUUCUGUGAAACCAAGUGUGGACAACAUUAAUUGUUAGGCACUUGAAGGACAGAGGCACCUAGUUACAUAAAAAGCAAACCAAAAUAUGAACCAUAGAACUUACAUCCAUUGAACCUCUUGAAGCAAGAAAAUCUUGAUCCUUGUCAUUUAUUUCAUAGUCAAAACUAAGGUCUUCAUCGUCACUGCAACCAUCCUGUUCAGAGCUGUAAUCGCCGUUGUCAGAUGCAUCAUCCUCAAGACCACUGAACUGGUAGUCAAUGUGCUGUUUCUCAGCUAUUGCUUUUACAUGAGGAUCGAGUGCUUCAAGACACUUCAACCCUCUCCUGAAAAAGCUUAACUAAAAGUCGAAAGAACAGUAGGAUAGUUAGGUUAUGUGUCACCCAAUCACAGGGCCAAUUUGAAAGCCAGAGAAAGAGUAAACCUACCUGAGCGGCAUGAUGGCGAGAAGCCUGUGUUAAAAGACUAUGGAACUGCCCUUGCCUCAAUGAUUUUAAGCGAAAUAUGAACAGUGCUGCAUCUUCUUGGUACUCGGCAAAAGAACUUUGCAGUUGCUCUGCAGAACAUGAUUCAAUUUUGGAAUGCCUUGACUUUCCCUUUUCCCUAUAGGAUGUCCUCAUAGCUUCAUAUGCAUCUCUGUGAUGAAAGGAAAAAAAAUAUUGGUAAGAGAAGUAUCAAUCGUAAAUGAGAAAAAAGUUGAUUUGAGUUGUAUUUGAACCUUUUCAUGUCGCAUUGCUGCUUCAUUUCCUACAUGUUGUCAAAUAAAACAGAAUGUACAGUGUGUCAGGAUCUUACAGAAAAAAAAUGAAGUAAACUAAGGGCAUAUUUGGAUGGGGAUUCCAAAUGAAUUUUCGGAUCCUAUGUUCUUUGUUAUCAAGUUGAUCAAAGUCCAAAAAUUCUCAGAGCAAUCCUCUCUUCAAACACAGGGGGCAUCCCCUUCUUACUGACAUAAAAUAUUUCCAAACAAAUUCAUGAUCAACAAUCUUCUAAAUCAUAAUAGAAAUUUGGUAACAAGCAGCUAGUAUCUGCAUUUCCAAUCAGAAUACAUAAUUGUACAAAUUUAUAGGCAUCAUAGAUCUAACCUCUACAGUUUGUAGCUCCUUGAGAAGAGACUCUGAUGGGGUUGUGAUUGUAUGAAUGAUAUUUGAGCGCUGGAUAACCAAUGUAAGCAUGUCAGGGUCACAAAUUCUAAGGCAGUAAGACAGUUAAAAAAGGCAUGAUAUUGCUUGUAUUGUUUGUUUUAUUUUAAAUUUUCAGCUGUUUGCUUCUGGCAGAGGCUGGAAGUGGCCUCGUCGAUUAUAUCACUGAGUGUAAUUAUCUGAGUAAAAAAUAAAAAUAGCAAAAGGAACUUACGUAAGUAUCAACAAAUUUUUGCAAUUCAAAUUGGACCUUUCCCAGCAUCAUCAGCACUCUACCUGCAGGCAAGAGAAAAUUAAUAUACCACUAAGUUGUUUUUUCUAAGAAAAACUAGACACUACCAAAGUUGUACCAGAAGCAUAAAAAAAUCAACUGCAUAAAGAUCUAAUUAUUUUGGUCCAAAGAUGCCAAAUAGUACUCUUAUAAAAUGGCAUUAUCAUCCUAGGUUAUAUUUUAGGAAAGAUCCACUAGUCUAGUUUUAUAUGGAGGAAGUGUCAAAAGUUGAAGUCGCUAUGAUUUAUUCAGUAAAUUUCCAUAAUAGUUUAGCGUGUUGUGAUUCUAAAAGAUGCCUCUAGCAGAACAACGUGGUUUACUAUGUGUUACAUCAAAAUUUGGAUGUUCUUACCACUAUCAUCAUCAUCACCGUUGAGUGCAGUUUUCGCGAGAAAGCAACCUCCAAGUUCCUCGAGAGCCUCCGAAAACUCUGCAUAGACAAACAAGCUCUCAGUUAGAAACAUGGGGACACUACACAACUGAGUAUUUGCAAGCAAUUCAAUAUCUUAAGUAAGACCGUCAGGUACCAUAUACACUAUUUGUUGUCGCGGCUGCAGCUGAAAUCAAGCCAUCAUAGCAGUUUCUCAUGUCUUCCACCUCCUGGAAAGAAGUUGAGAACCAAACUUCAGUCAAUAAGGCAAUAUUACCGAAAGGAUGACUGUUUUAUUCUUGGUCUCCUUUAUAAUUUAACUGCAUACUCUGAAUAAAUUGGACAUGUCCUAGCAGUGUGGCAGGUUGCCACAGUUAGAGAAGUCUAAGGUAUGGUUAACAUCAGAGUAAACAAGUGCCUGGUGCCAUUGUCAUUCGACAAAUACUUGAUGAAAUCCUGCAUUAUGGCACUACAGUAGCUAUUUCACAAAUAAAGCAUUUUGGGACUACUUCUCCACUGUUAUAUUUGUAUGAUCUGACAUGCUUUGUAUUAUUGAAAAAGAUAGCUCAGCAGGGGAGAUUUUCAGAAAAUUGUCAAAACACUGCAUGUCUGCCUCAGAAAGACAGAAACACGCUUUUCUUAGAUGGCAUCAUUAGUCCAAACAGCGUAGCGUCCGAGCAUCCCACAUCACGCGGUAUCUGGAACGGAAUGCGUCGUGUUGCAGAACAAGCGUUCAUACGACGGACGGAAAGACUCUUGCUGGUACCGAAGUACAGGCUGCCGUCUCCAUUGAUCUAACGUGUCUUGUCCAGUCAAGAUCACGUCGGAUGGCUGACAUUUUUUAUAGCAGCUUUCUCUGAUGGACGUUUCCUUCUGAAGACUUUGACCAGCAAGAACAGAGCCCCAAAACGCCAAGGUGAUGCCGAGCAGACACGUAAAGGGGUUGCAAGUCUUUUUCAUGGAUUAGAACCUAACAACUACCUUACCCAAAAGAUACUUUGACUUGAAAAAAAAAACUCCUACUUGAAUUGAAGAGAAUAUAAAUUUAAGCGACAUUAUGUUUUUUCUUUAAAAAAUUUGCCCACGAUAUUUUGAAGCCAAUACUGUUUGUAUAAUUUUUCUCCGUCUACAAACUAGGAUACUGUCCCGUGGUAUUUGCCCAUUAAGAAGUACUCCUAAUUUAUGAAAAAUGAAAUUAAAUUGUGGAGGUAUGGCCAUGAACCAAUGAACAAACGUUGGCAAUUCUUUGGUAAAAAUUCUAAUUUUCACACAAAGACAAUUUCAAUUAAAAGGAAAUUUGAUCAGUUGCGCUGAAUGACCGAAUAAUGGGAAUUCCAUCGUUUGGAAGUUUGAUCAUUCCCCACCUAACCAAUGAUCGGAAACUGACACCAACCAAGAAAUGAACAACACACUCCACCCGGAAAACCGCACGAAAAUUAGGCUGCUAAAACCGAAAAAGGAGAAAAAUCCAGGGGACGAUCCCUCCCGAGAUCCAAUUUUGGCUCCGGAUUCAUCACGGGCCACGAAAAUCAUAUCCCAAAGGCCAAAGAUCACCCAGGAGCAGAGCCAGAAGAAAGAGGGGCAAGGCGCAGGUAGAUACGGACCUGGGCGGCGCAGACGAGCUCGUCGAGCUUGGCCGGCGGCGGCUGGUGCCCCCUGCGCUCCUUGGGGUGGUUGUGGCCGAAGCCCCGCAGCCUCCGCAAUGGCGACUUCAUCCCCUCCCGACGCCACGCGCGAUUCCUCCGCGCCCUCGUUGUUUCCGUCUCUCUAUCUCGAGCCUCCUCGCAAUCAACGGUGACCGGUGACGCUACCCGUUGCCUUGGAGUUUGGAUUACGGAGAGCCAAAAAUAGCCGGCCACUUGGGAGAGAAGGGAGAAAUGGAAAUGGAGGAGGAAGCCGGAGAGAGAGUAAUUGCGCCUCGCACUACUUAUAAUAAUCGCUAAUGGAGAAGCAGGGUGGGCCCCAUGCGCACGGUUGACCAUGCCAGUGGAAUCGCGCGGGAGAGAGAGGAGAGGUGGAAGAGGCUGCGACUGCAACAGGUUGCUCCGAAUUUCAGCCAGUGCUCUGAUCUGGCAGGCUGGUUCUCCAUUUCAAAAAGGUAAUUUUACCCCUCCUUUAGACAAAGAAAAACUCGUCUCAUGUGACGAUGUGAGUGAUGGGACAUGAUAUCUGUCCAUCUACUAGGAGGUAACCUACGGCAGAGGAAGGCCGCUGGGCCCACUUGGCUGGUCGGAGAUUACCAGCUAGGACCUGGAGCAACUGAGCUAACCCAUUGUACAUCCAUGCAUGAAACCUAUGUUCUCUGCCUCCUUUUCUCCGUAAUGUAAAAGUUCAUUUGUCCUGGUGAGACGCCCAGCUUGCUCUGUUGUUGCUCGGUAAUAUAAUGCGUGAGACCGUUCAAGCCGUCUCGCUGUCACCAACAACUUUUUGCAAUUGCAAAAGAUAGUGGCAUGGCCAUUUACCGUGACAACUUUUUGACCGUGAUCGAGACAGAUAUAUGGGCAAAUGCCCACACAAUCCAUGCCACUGUGCCGGUAAAAAGUUAUUUUUAUUCAAACCAACACAGAAUUGAUCGGGUGGUUUUUCUUCUUACAAUGAACUUGUAGUACUAUUACGGCAUUAAGGCAAAACUAGAGUUAAGAACCCACGAUGGUACGCGAAUUGAGCGUAGGUGUAGGUUCCACAUGUCGAUUUAGGUUUGAGUCCUCAACUUGAUACGAACUAAUGAUGCUUGGAAGCAAAUAUGUCAGUUGACAUCGAAGUGUCUAUAGUGACUUCAUCAAUCUCGAAGUAAUAAUAGAGACAACCAAUAUAAAUUGAUAUCUAUGCAAGAGCUGGCCCGACGAAGCUCGGAGAAAAAUGAAAACACAUAAAACUUGUAAUGUGAUACUCCAAUAAGGAAAGUUGAUCUUUAUAAUUUGCUAUCGCCUUACUGUAGGUUCAUAAUUUUUGUAUAUAUAUUCACACAUUUUGAAAGCGGAUGGUGGGUCGAGUGCACGAGAAACAGCGAUUUUCGUGACGCCGAUGCAUCGACCCACCGCUUUGCUUGGAAGGCAAGGAAAAAUAUCCGGACGCGACUGAUCUCAGCUCCCGUUCCAACGCUUUCCUCAGGGAAGCCGUUUGCGUGCGUCAGCACGCAGCGCGGCACGAGCCCGGCGCCCCGGCGUGAGUCCUCGUCCGGCGUCCCCGUCCAAGUCGGACGCGCUGGGUUUGACCGCUGACCGAUCGACGGCCCGGAUCGAUCAUUUAUUUCCACGCGGUCAAAAGGUCGCCCAGGGGCGCGGCACCAGGCAGCCCACGCCCCCCAUGCUGCACCAUGCAGUUGCGUGCCCACGUAACGGCCGAUGAGCUGGUCCAAUCCAGCUGGGAUGCAUGAGACUUGAGAGACUUUUUUUCUGGAUUUUUUCCUUCUUCCGUUUUUGCCCCCUUCACGUGUCCGUCUGUUUGCUGUUGACGGGUCGAAGGAGCGGUGGUGGCGUGUGGCCGGUCGAUCAAAAAGGUGUUCCUAGGAGAUCACGAAACGGAUUUCGGUUUUGAAUAUGCAUGCAGAUGAAUGGAGACCUGGAUAUUUCCGCGGCCCAACCGUUGGAGCUUCUCUUCCAUCCCCUUCUCCUUCUCCGUCUCAGGAACACAAAACCAAAGACAAAAGACUUUCGUUUUUAACGAUCUUUUUUUAACGAAAAAGGAGAAAAGACUUGUCAAGGCCGCAGCUAAAAUGGGCUUCAGGCGGGGGCUGCCAACCAAAUCCUUUGAACAAUCACUCGUUUUUUUUUUUGAAGCCCCACUGGAUUAUUGGGCGAUUGGCAAUAAAGUCUUGCCGUUCGGUACUGGUAGCUUCGCGCGAUUCGGAAGUUUUUGGGUUACCAUUGCUCACGCGCAAUGUGAGGCACGGGAGGAAGAAAAAUGUGGAUUUUCUUAAUUUACUAGUCCCUCCGUUUCAAAUUUAGGUCUUUUAACUUUCUAGAUUUAUAGAUUUAUUAUGCAUAUAGACAUAUACUAUGGUCCUGUUUGGGAGGAGGGUGCUAAAAUUUAGCCUUGACUAAAUUUUAGCACCAUCAAAUGAGGUGCUAAACUUUAACCCUUUGGGGUGUUUGGGAAGGAUGCUAAAUUUUAGCACAUGUGUUGACAAAAGACAGAUUUACCCCUCCCGUUGCCCUCCCCGUCCACCUCCUCUGCCUGGCCGCUCUGCUUGCCCUCAACCUUCUCCUCCAGCAGCAAUGCCAUGCCCUGCUCGUGGCGCAUCUCAGGUCGGGGCCCCUGCUGCUGCUCACUGGUGGCGGCACACCUUGGCCGCGUCCCCUUCGACCUCGCCGACUUCCGCGACCGCUCCUCGACACCCGCUCCCUCUUCGCCGCCCAGGAGCUGGACGACGUGAUGGACUGCGUCGUCAUCCUGGAGAUGAUGGCGGAAGCGAGGCGACGGAGGGGAGCGCAGGGGAUGUGGGUGCUGAGGAAAGCCGUGUAGCAAAACGCAGAGAAGGUUAUGCGCGAGGUCGAGCGCGGUGGAGAGGAGCCCGAGUCCUCGUCGCCGGCGGCGUCCCCGGCAUCGGCGUGGAGGCGGUGGUGUGGCCUGUCAGGCUAGGAUCUGGCGGCGGCGGCGGUGGCGGGGCCGGUCGGGCUCGGAUCCGGCCGCGGUGGCGGUGGCGGGUUCGGGCGGAGGCGAGGUGAGGCGGGGUGGGGGGCACGACGGUGGGGUCGGCGGAGGCGAGGCGCCGUGGUGCCCCUCGCGGGGAGAGAGAGAGUAAGGGGAGGAGGCGGCGGGACCGGCGAGCGAGGCGGAGGCGGUGGGACCGGCGGGCAAGGCGGAGGCGGCGGGGUGCCGUGCGGCGGGAUCUGGCAGGGAGGAGUGAGAGGGAGGAGAGAGAGAGGGGAAGGGGAGGAAUUUUGGACAAGGGGAUCACUUUUAGCCCCUUUAGUCCAUUUUAGCACCUCUUGGAGGAGCUAAUGGAUUAUGGAGGGCUACCUGUUGUUUGGCAUGGAGAGGCUAAAAUCUGGCUAAAAUGGGGGGUAUAGUUUAGCCCCCCUCCCAAACACCCCCUAUAUCUAGAUGCAUAAUAAUACCUAUGCACCUAGAAAAGUCAAAACGACCUAUAAUUUGAGCACCUAGGAAGCAACUAAUUGCUUGUCAAAUCAGCUAUCCAAAUUAAACGUCAUCUAAUUUUGACCGGAGGAAGUGCUUUCAGGCAUAUGCAAACGAAACUUUAAACCAGGACAUGUACAGUAUGUAGGUACAUAGCCAAAUCGAACCACUUCUCUCUCUGUUUUUUUUUGUCACACUGGGCAUUGCGUCGCAGCGGCAAUGAACAAUAGGGUACUUAUGUAAAGAUAAACCUUCAAUUUUGCCACAUCAUAUGACAUAUGGGGUGAAUGCAGGGAGGAAAAUGUGCUUACAUUUAUAGUAACAAUGUGUGGUUAAACUUCUUUAAGCACCCAUCACUACAUUGUAGAGAAGAGUUAUUCUAUGGAUGCUUAAUAGCGAUAUGUAUAUAUGCCCACUAUAAUUUAUUUUUUCAUUUUUAAAAACAUAGUACAUGCAUAGAUGCUCACAUAGUCACAUGCACGGGUACACUUAUACCUUCUUUUAGAAUGUUAUACCUAUUAGCAUUUAUAGUUAGAAGAUUAGACUAAUGGGUCUUGAGAUUGACAAAGUCAUCAAAAGCACAUUACCAUUGACACGCACAUCAUACACUACAUAAUAAAUGUGUGCAUCACUGAGAUAUAUCAAAUCCGGGUUAUGAUUCUGAUAGGCAGGGAAGCACCCCUACUAACUACCAAGACAAUGCUUAACUAGUGCUCAAAUUCAGACCAUCUAAGCAAACAAAAAUAGAUGUGCUUAUAGGGAGAAAAAGGUGCUUCAAUUACAUUAGUAACACCGUGAACUUGUUCAAGAACCCACUCCAUUGCAUUGAGAGUAGAGUUAUUCUAAGAGUGCUUAAGGGCAUGUACAAUGGUCAUCUGCAGGUCGUCUUUUUUUAUCCAUGCUGGCACUUUCAUCUAACGUGUACAACACUUAAUGAAGGGAGAGCAGCGCGGACUGCAGCUUGCUUGUCCCCUUUCCAUGUCCCCAUUCGUGUCCCCCAACACGUGGAAGCCAUCUAUUGGCCCCCAUCUAGGGACUGGGUCCUAUUUUUUUUCAAUUAAGGCGUCAACAAGCCCGCACCGAGAAAACGGAGACAUCUCAUCAGUUCCGUCCUAUCAAUGUUUAGAUCCAGCAACCUACCGAGGAGGUACUUGAGGUAGUUUUUUUAUGCGUGGGACUAGCCGAGAUCAGGAACUCGAAGGUGAACUCGAACACAUGAUUUAGACAGGUUCGGACCGCUUGUGUCGCAUAAUACCCUACGUUCUAUGUGUUGAUUGUGUUGUAUUGAUUGAACUUAUUUGGAGGAGGUGUCUACCUCGCCUUAUAUUGCCGAGGGUAGGAUUACAGGUCGGUUGUUUACAAGAAUACUAGUCAGAUUCGACUAAAGAGUCAUACUCUAAUUGCUACGAGUAGUUUUCUAAUCCUCGACUAGUUCUUAUCCUCCACAUAGACCACGUGAUCCUACACCGUAGUCUCCAUGUCUGACACGUCUCGGUGUACAACCCCGUAUGUAGGACUGUCCAACCUUCUGAUGGGCCCAUAAAUGUAUGGACGACAAGCCUUCGAGUACGUUUUAGUCAAAUGUAGCAGUCCCGAUUAGUUUUGUAGGCUUCUCCGACUAGCUUGUGGUAAUCUUCGAGUACUCCAAUGGAUCUCAGUCUUCAAAUGUACUCGAGUACUGCCAUGCGGCUAGAAUGUGCUCAAAUCUUAUUUAACUUGGUCUUGAAUCUUCAAUCUUGAAUUUUAUAUGGAAGUGCGAUGAAAAUCGCACUCCAUAUGGAGUAGCCCCCCGAGCCUUAGGUUGAAUCGAAGAAUCAGGUCGAGGGUCAAUCUUGUAAUUUCACCUCUCUUUUUCCUUUAAAUCCAAAGAAAAAACUUUUUAUCCAAUGGGCACAUGGCACGCAGCCCCCGAGUCGUUACAUGACUAGUUUGGUUUUGGUUAUAAGGGUCAACGACUAGUCAACAUGACCAUUCGCCAAUAGUAACCUUAUCUUCUUCUGAUAAUUUUGGAAACUGCUGACCGUUGCAUAAUCUUCGGACAUUUUAAAAAUAGAAUAUUCCCGUUAAUCUCGCCACUAUUUUAACUGUGGCGCGGUUAUAAAUAAUAAAGGAAAUCAUACCUUCCGUUUUCACCCAAGCCAUUCUGCCUGUUCAUCUUCCUCAUUGUAGCCCUAACGCCGCCGCUCGCUGAUCCCUUGAGCUUGAGUGCCACCGACUCCCCCAUUUUAACCCCAAGCAUAUGCGCAGGAAGACCCUUGUGGCAGCACAAAUGGGAAAGAAGGCAACUUCUAGCAAGGUGGUGGAGAGCCAAAAGAGGAAGGCCGCAAAGAAAGAACUUCAACUGCCGUUGCUGAAGUACGGCAAGAUGGACCAGACCGUUCCGCCAACGCAAGCAUGCGCCUGGAAGAAAUUCAUGAUGAAGGAGGCGGACAUUCAGGCAUUGGUGGAUGCUAAUCUGCUCCGAGACCAAGAGUCCAUCAACUAGAGAGAAGCCCGCGGCAAUCCCUAGCUGAUGGAAAACUACACUCACGAGACGGUGAUCUUCACACACUUCAUCGAACGAGGUUUGGCUUUGCCCACAUCUGAAUUCUUCCGCGGACUGCUGAAUUACUACAAGAUAGAAUUAGUGCAUCUCAACCCAAAUUCUAUCCUACAUAUUGCCAUCUUCGUGCAUCUGUGCAAAGCUUUCCUUGGAAUUCAGCCACAUUUUCAACUCUUCUGCAAAUUCUUUAGAGUUAAGCCUCAGCCUCAGUUAGACCAUACAGAAGUAGUUGGAGGGGCAGGCAUUCAACUGCAGGAGAAAGUGAAAAGCUUGUACUUGGAUUAUGAGCUGAUCGAUUCUCAUUCUGGCUGGAAGGACAAGUGGUUUUAUAUUGGUAAUCAUGAGCCCCGACUACCUAAGGAGACAAGCCACCGCCCAAUUUGGAAUAACCAGUGGUUGGACAAGCCUUCCUACUCAGACAGCUUUCAACUACCCAAGCUUCUGGAGAAGAUCGCCGUACUCAAAUGGAAGGGGCUGACAGGAGUAGGCGUAGCCUUCAACUUCAUGAGGAGGCGAGUCCAACCCCUGCAAUUGCGCUGCACUUGGGGGUAUGACUACUCGGGCCCCAAUGACCCAUCCCAGAUGACAUCAAACGACUUGUCCGUGGAUGAGGUUAUGGCGUGAUUGAGGUGCCUCUUCAAACACGCGAGAGCAAUCCCGAUCAUCGUGCAAGAACACUGCGCUGCCAACCCACCAAGCAGUGUAAGUACCCAUAGCAUCAGCCCCCAAGUACCAAUUUUGUACUUGUCAUUUUACUGACUUGUCUUUUCAUGCAGGAAGAGAUUCACUUGUAUUGCUCCAUCCUCCUCCACCCAGCUCGGAUGGCUCUGAUGCCGCUCCUCGAGUGCACACGGCUACCGAAGCUCAGAAGGUAGUCGAGGAGGAGGAGGAGGAGGAGGAGGAGGGGUUUUCUUCUUUCAGCAGCUUUGAUUCAGAGUUUGCUGAAAAAUUUGUCGUCAAGGCCCGACCGUCUGACAAGGCGGGGUCUUCCUCCGGGACAUCCAAGUGCGAAGCCGAAGAUGACCUGGAGGCUGGGCUAGCACCACCGCCGAAGAAGAAGUGCACUGUUGCCGUCAAGCACGUGGUGAAGAAGCCGCCCACCGCUAAUGAAGUCCGUCCUCCGAUAAUCACAUACGAAGAAGGACAAGAUCGUGAGGAUCGAGUACUCGUAAGUUGUUUCCUUUAUCGCCAUGCCUAACUUGAUUCUGACAUUGAUGAUUUGCAGGUAGUCAGAGGGGAGACAAAGGUAGAGAAGACGGCUGCAGAAGUCAUGCAGCAGGAGCUGCCGGUGAUCAAGGAGGUCAUCGAGCUAGAAGAUGACGAGAAGCCUCUUGUCACCAGGGCCAACCCCAUCCUUGCGCAGACUACUCAAAUGGUGGAGACGACAUCCAAGUCUAGUGAAGAUAAAACUGCAAUCCAACAAGCCACGCCAAAGAAAGCGUUGCUCACUACCAAGUCCUUGAGCCUGGGGGGAGAGCCCUCCUUGAAGAUAAGGCGAUCCACAAAGUAAGUACUGGACUGUUAUCAGAGUACUGAUUGUGACUUGGUGUUGUCUUGUAGUGUGUAUUGACACUUGUCUUGUGCAGAUAUUCCACCAGCGUGGACAUUGGAGGUCCAGGCCCGAAGUCUACGGCUGAUGGCAGCAGCUGCUCAGUCCAAAACCUCACCCCGGCACCUACAACUCCACCGCCAGAGGAGCAACCUGCAUCAGAAGUAGCUCCAGGUGUUGUAUCCCUUAUUGCUGUGCUUGUGCAUGAUGUUAUUGCAUCACUAAAUGUUGUUGUAGUGCCAGCCCUCGAGCUGCCAGUAGUUGAGCCCAUCACGGCGACUACUUCUGCUGUGGUGGCUACAUUGGUAGUCCCCGAGCCAGAGGCGAAGAUCAAGAUGGAAGUAGCAAGUACUUCUGGAGCUGAGGCUACACUUGUAGCCCCCGAGCCAGAAGUGGAGGUUGAAGCUGCCGGGGCUCUGCAAGUGUUGGCUGUCAUCCCACCGUCUGAGGCGGGAUCGUCUACCAACAGCGGCAUGACUUCUCACUUAUCUUCUGAAGCUGGUCCUUCAACUACCCGAGCACUGGUUCCUCUUGGUGCCCCAAUCGCCGAAGAGCACAAGGAACCGUGGAUAGCUGAAGGGGUGGAUCUAGAGAAGAUCCAGCUUCUUGCUGACCCUCUGACCACCGUGGAGAUGGAGGCCACGGUCAUGGAGAUGCACCGCUACUCAUGAAGUACGACGGCCAAGCUACCGAGUAUUGUAACCUCGUCCAACAAGCCGCGAAGGGGAAGGACUGCCUCCGGUAGCACAACAAGGCAUUGAAGAAUCGAUUGGAUGGUAUCUUGUCACCUCCCGCUGGUUUCUAAGUACCAAUUUGCGCUUCAGUUUCCUCUCCUUCUACGUUAGAGGUGAGCUCAUCCUGCGAGACAUCGUCUAGAUGACGUUUGCAUCAUGGAUUUCUUUCUGGUAGUUCUUCACCAUCAUUUUCUUAUGCAGCAACGAUAGCGAGGAGUUCCUGCUCUAGAGAAAAACUACCCGAACUUGAUGUAAUGAUCUCUGUGGGGCCGUCUUCCUCGUAGAUGGGCGACAGAGGAGUUCCCUCCUGGUAUGGGAGAGUUUCAAGGUAGACGACAAGGCGUGACUCGUCGUCCUUGGUGAGAGCGGGUGGCUUCAUGUUGGGCAAUAGACGAAUCUGCCUUGUGGAGUAUAUUUGAUAACCAAACCCUGCUGUGGACCUGAUAAUGGAAUCUCCUCGUCCGGAUCCGAGUAAUAGUCGGGGUCCUCGAUCAAAUCCGAGUUGGAUUGCGAUUUGGAUAGGGUAGCUUGGUAGGCAGCACCCGAGCUUCGAAGUCCGAACGGGAAUCGACUUGUGUUGUAGAUCGAUUCACAUGAUGGCUUAAGCACCAGCUCGUGGGAACCAGUCCAACUGGUGAGAGAAGUCGAAUUGUACUCGGACUCGUCCCUUGAGCCUUGGAAGAGGUUGAAAAUUUCGUUGAAUUUUUCAACGAAAUCCUCCAAAGCUUGGCGAUGAAGGUUGAUGUCAUACUGCUUCUCCUCCAGGGCCAGCGCGAUGUGGCGGUGGAAAUUUCCAGUGCCGCGUGUGAUGCAAACCCAGGAACCGAAGAUGAAUGUCGCGCCCACUCCUAACACAACGGUGCGCUUGAUGAUGACUUGAGCCAUCGAGUUUGCCAGCGGAUCUUUAGCGAGACCCCUACCUAGCGCGCCAGCUGUUGGUGUUUAGACCCCGCAACCUACCGAGGGUGUACUCGAGGUAGUGUUAUUAUGCGUGGGGCUCGCUGAGAUUAGAAACUCAAAGGUAAACUUGAACACACGAUUUAGAUAGGUUCGAGCCGCUUAUGUCGCGUAAUACCUUACGUCCUGUGUGUUGGUUGUGUUGUAUUGAUUGAACUUGUUUGGAGGAGGUCCGUGUCUCGCCUUAUACUGCCGGAGGCAGGGUUACAGGUCGGUUGUUUACCAGAAUACUAGUCAAAUUCGACUAAAGAGUCAUACUCUAAUUGCUACGAGUAGUUUCCUAAUCCUCGACUAGUUCUUGUCCUCCACGUAGACCACGCCGUCUUGCACCGUAGUCUCCAUAUCUGAUACAUCUUAGUGUACAACCUCGUAUGUAGGACUGUCCGAGCCUUCUAGUGGGCCCAUAGAUGUAUAGAUGACACAUCCCCCGCGCUAACAUUAGUGGCAGCUAGGAAGUUGAUAAAAAUGGCACCAAUUACAACAUAUUGCUUCCAUUAGCGAGGGAACAUUUAAAAUCAAAAUAAUAAUUAUCAGAUUAGCAUCUCCCCUUCGUCCACAAAAUAGUAAUGGAGCUAGAUCUUCAACUGAAUGUCUCAAUGUUUUGUCAACAAGUUGGGUUUCUUUUGAGGUGCAAAUUGUACAGGAAUGAUCAAUCCGAUUUGGUUUUUCGAUGAACUAAUCCAACUGAUUGGAAGAGACUACUUACUGACCGGACUAAAAUGACUUGCUACCGCACUACACUGUAAAAAAAGAGGUUCAUGAAGAAAUUGAUGCCUAUCAGGUCGAUGUCCCACCACGACAACCUUGACUCGACGAUACAACUAACGAGAAAACACCAAAAAUAAAAUUCCUUACCAUCCAAAUCAUCACGAAUCGAGAUCCCAGCCACCCAAUUCGAAAUCCCGAAGCAGGAAUCGAGAUCCCGGUCACCCAAAUCGAAAUCCAAGCAGCUAGAAUCGAGGUCGAUUUGGCAGGAGUUGCUUGUGCCCAAAUCGACUUCCUUGUUGCUGAAUGGAAGUUUGCCGCAACCCAAAUUGAGUUUUGUGCCGUCGCUUCCUGCAUCUAAAUCGAUCUCCUCACAGCAUAGGCCAGGCGAGCAACUUCCAGCAGAGGAGAAAGAAUGGGAGGAACGGGGCUGACGGACGGCGCCACUCGUGGCGUGUCCAUGUGGAGCUGGGACGGAAAAAAAAAAGAAAGAGGGCCCGGCCCCUGGAGAGGAGCGAUUUGAUGGCCUCCACGUGUUCGGAGACACGGAUGGAGACACGUUAAGGGAACACGGAAGCUGCAGCCAGGAGCGCGCCGUCGCCUCGCGAGAGGACGGCAGGGGCUCGUGUUCCCAAGUUUAAUCGCCCGCUCGUGCUCCGUUGUACGACCCCAUUCUCGGAGACGACGACGACGAGCGAUCCUGUGCGGCGAGCCGGCGAGGUUCUCCAAGAUUUGGCGCGGAAACAUGGCGGCAAAAGUCUAUCCCCGCGCCAUUUUCCCUUCCCCUCCACCUCCCCAAUCUGUUCCCAAUCCUGCAAAGCCAGCAACCAUGCGGCGACAGCGGCGGGAUGCAGCGGCAACGCGAGAUCUGCUGGAAGCGGCGCCGGCACGGGAGAGGAAAGGUGCUGCGGCAAGGGAGCGGAAGGCCGAGGUAAGGACCCUUGAGGAGAAUGGCCCUGCAGCGGAAGGGUGCAGUACGGGCGGAAGGAGCUGCCCCCGUUCAAUCCGCGUCAUCCUUCACCGACGACGUGAGGCACAUCCUCACAGUCACCGGCGCUCCCGCCUCCAGAUGCGGCGGCAUGCUGGAGCGGAAGGUUGCGAUGACGGCUGGAAAGCGGAAGGGCUCGCUCAAUAGCGGUGUUGUUAAUUUCCGGCUCUGUUCUGUUGCUUCCCUCCACGGAUGGAUUGGGUGCGGCAAGAUGGAGAGCGUGGCGAAGGGAAGCACGGCGGCGGGUUGCUGGAAGCCAGGAUCUAGCCCCAGUCGGUGUUCAGCUUCAUUACUGAUCUCCCCCAGUCCAUGCUUGCUUCUCUGAAUGUCCGUGUUGCUUGCUUCUUUGUUUACUUAAACGUCACUAAUGCAAAUGUAGAGAGCGAAGAUCGUGCAGAUCUUCUCUUUUCCAAUUUCUUAAUUUUUUUCCUGGUGUUUACAAAUCUGAAACGUAGACCUGUGUUUUUUUGUUUCAUGAGAUUCAGAACAUGAUGAAAUAUUAAGCAAGUUGAAAUCAUGACCUUUUGAUGACAGUCAAGCAUUAUGCUACUAAUAUCAUUUUUUUACAGUUCCAUAUGUAGAUAAUAGCAACGUAAUAUCAGUUCGAGUUCUCUGGUAGCAUGCUCCUGAUAUUCUAAUAACCUUGGUCAGUUUAACACAUGCUAGUAUUGCCAUUGAUUUUCACAGGCACAGUUGCUGAGCACUAGGGUCUACUACUAUCUGAUUCUUGUUAGGCUCACAAACUUCAAAUUCUGCCACUGAAUAUGUCUGCUAUGUACACGAACUAUAACUAUGAAUGUUUAGACUUCACAUUGCAGAUUUGGUCUGAAUGCUUUGACUAGCAAGGAGGAAGCCAAGGGAGGACCUGCUGUUGCAGCGCACUAUUAUGUCUGUCAGUUUUUCAUGUGAAUGUGCCGAAGUGUGAAUAGAUGCGAACAUGUGUCAAACUAGCAACAAAAUGACAUGCAAAGAUCAAAUAUAUAGUUGAUCGCCAUGUUAACUGUCUCUUUGGCUGCCUGUACGUGAUUGGCUGCCUGUACGUGAUGUGGCAUGUGUUCGCAGACAAUAACCACAUGCACUAAUGACAUGACUUUCCUUUUACAGUUUUACAGUAUCUUUUUUCAAAAAAUUUCUAAACAGUACAUAAAUACUCACAUGCAUGCAUGCGACCAUAGUAUGCACGAAAACACUUGCACACACAGAGAUGGCAACGGGGAAAACGCUCCCCCAUCCCCGUGGGGAAGAAAAAUCCCCAUCCCCGCCCCCGUGAACGCUCGUGGGGAACGUUUCCUUCCCAUCCCCGUCCCCGCACGGGGAAUUUGUCCCCGACGGGUCCCGUCCCGCAAAUUACCGACUUUUUUGUAUUUUGGCUCUUUUUACGAAAAAAUCUCACAAAUAGGCCCCUGGCGAAACCAAUUCCGAAAAUGGACCCUCAGCUUGGCGCCAGGUAUAACGUCUUGGCGCCAGCCAUCCUGGCGCCAAGGUCCCUAUGCCGCGCCUCCGACGUGGCGCCGGCCCGCUGACGUGGCGCGGAGGCUUGGCGCCAAGAUCCAUGGCGCCGAGCCUCGGCGCCAAGAUCUGUGGCGCCAAGGCUCGGCGCCACCGUCGCUGGCGCCAAGCCUUGGCACCAUAGAUCUUGGCGCCGAGGCUCGGCGCCAGCCUCCCUAGCGCCAAGCCCCCUACCAUAUAUAAUGCCCCUUCUUCCUGCCCGAGAGUUCCUCCUCAUUAUUCUCCACUCUCUCGGGUUUUUACUCUCCCUACUUUGCCCUAGACUACGAAUCGACAUUGUAGCUUAGGAAACUUUCAUUUGAUCCGUGGAUCCUGAAGAGCAAGGUAUCCUCUCUCCGUCGUACCUUUUUUUUCACAUCGAUUUGCUAUAUAUUUCUUGCAUUUUUGAACUUAGGGUUUCAUGCAAAUGUAGGAUGCCGAGGCGUGGAAAAGCUAAGAAACUAAGGUAAUCUCAACGCCCGUAGUUAUGUUAUAUACUCAUUGUUGUGGAUCAAAUGAAAAAACCUUAAUUGUAGGUUUAUUCUUAAGUGCGUUUGAUUCAUAGAACCAAAUAAACAAAAUUGUAGUUAUGGCGCAAAGAAGACCGGAAAUGCGUUCGAUCCAUUGCCUCUGCCUAGUGGUGUUCCAGUGCCGAUGUGCUUUUGCGGCGAUCCUUGCAAGGUAGCGAAGUCCGAAGAACAUGCCACGUAUAGGCAGAGGUAUUGGAUGUGUUCCAACUUUGCGUUUGAACCUACACUUCGUCAGCGCCGCAUUAACAUGUUGGUAAGGAAAUGUUGUUGUCUUAUAAUUAUUGUCCAUAAUUUUUUUGUUAUAUAACAAUUGCAUUUGUUGUAGACCCCUCCACCGCUAUGUGAUUUUGAGCAGUGGAUCGACACUGAGAUCGAUCCUGAAGACAAGGAGUUUUUGGAGUAUAUGAUGCGCUGGGAUGCAGAGAGGAAGGAGGUGUACGAGAAGAGGCUCGUAGAGGAGGCUGCGGAAAAGGAGCACAAGGAAGAGGAGGAAAGGAGGCGGGUUGCUGCGAACAGGGAGGAGAGAGAGAAGAAGCUUGAGCAGGCACGCCGAGCGAAAGCAGCGGUUGAGGAGAAUCCCGAUGCCUUAAGGAAGGGAAAGUGGCCUCGUUGCACUCAGUAGCCAUAUUUAGGUUCUAGUUCUAUGGUUUAUUUAUGAACAAUAUUUUCUACUGUGAGACUUUUAUUAUGUUGUCAUGUAAUAAUGCACUUUAAGUAAGGACACGCAAUUUGUAGACGACAUAUGUUCAUUUUGCGAUGUAAUGCAUUUCGAAGUCGUAGUCUACUAAAAUAUCCGUAGAAAAUAAAAAUGGUACUUGUUAGCGAAAUUUCGGCAGAAUUUCCCCUACUUGUUGAUGCAAUCCAUACAAAAUUACGAGAUGAAUAGUGAAUAUAAAUACAAGCAUAGAAACAUAGAAGCAUAUGACACAAGCAUAUGACACAUUCAGAAUAGAAUCCACAAUAGUUCAGAAUGAAAGUCCUUAUAUAUACAAAUAGUCCAUAUGAUACAAAGUUCGCAAUCAGAGUCGUCACUGCCUCCUAGUCUUACCCUUACCCUUGUGACCAAGGGUGUCGAUGCCUGGAGUGUAAGGAGAACGUGGACGACGUAGUCUAGUGCCCCCUACAAUCUGUGUAGGCUGAGUCAAGGGAGCCUCCUGGAGCUGAGACGGGCCAAUCUCCUCGGCCCUCUGCUCAUCGUCGUCGUCAUCGUCAUCGUCAUCGUCGUCGUCGUCGACUUCCUCGGAUGCAAUUGAUUUCGAACCUGAGGGGCCUUGGCUGGACGCCUCCUUCGCGCAGGGAUGGAACGUGCACGUCUCGCGUCGUGGCAGUCCUGCAACCACAACGAGCAGCGGCACGGCGAAGCCGAUUUGACAAUCGCUGCAGUAGUAAAAACAAGUUACACAAAUGAAGAAUGUAACGUAUUAAUAAAGUAUUAGAAAGAAUAAUUUGAGACUUACCUCUAGGAAGCUCCGCGUCUCGGGGUCCCUAACUCGUGGACGGAAUUGCUCUAUAUCUCUAACCGAGCUUUGUAGGGUACGCCCCUGCAACAAAUGACUAAGUCACUAAAGCAACAAAUGACUAAGUCACUAAAUGACUAAAUGAUUAAGUCAGAUGAUCACUAAGUCCUUAUCUAACUAACUAAAUCUCUAAGUAACCUAACAUAGAAUAUAGAAAAGUGAAGCAAUUGUCUUACCAUCCUAUCCAGGAUUGGUCCUACCUCCACCUGCCUUCCAGCACGAGUACUCUGAUCGUACACCGUGUCUUCAUCGUCGGAUGAGUGGAUAUCGGCAUAGUCAUCUUCCGUCCACACUUCCCUCAGCCUGUGCCGCGUCGCACCUUGGUACCAGCUCUGGUAUUGCCUGUACGCACUGUUUGUGUGCGGCUCGUUGUUCUCGUCCAAGUUCUGCUCGAACUGCUCCCAUUCCUGAAUGUACGCGUGGUGGAACGCGGGCCACUCGGAGACCUUCCGCUUCUUCUUUCGAUCCACGCUGCACGUCACGUUACACGUUACUGUUAGCCAAAAUUUAGUUAAUAGUAUUGAAAUAUAUGAAAAAGGAAAAGACUUACUUGUGUAACUCUAUACUAGUCGAGGUCGCCUGUGGUGGCCAAAUCUGCCUCAUCCCAAAUUGACGUGCUACUCGAUGUGGCAGGUGGUACUCGACAGCAUAGAAGCAAAUAAGAGGGCACACCAUCCUAUAAAUAUCAUCGUCCGUCGCACACACGAAGCUAAGGGGAAAAGGAAGUGGAUCGUCUCCGUCGUAAGGCUGCCAAUUUACCUGCAAAAUUUGAAUAAAAAACGUUAGUUGUUAUACUAAAAGAUUACAAAGCAUGUUUAAAAAAAAUUCACUUACACUAUGAGCAGUGAGCGCGUCUAUCUCGUUGAUGUAAUCCAGGUACGCGCGGUCCAACCUCGUAUGGCUAACCUUAACCUGAUCCCAAAUAUAUGCCCAUGUCGGCUGUCGUCUCGGCGGCUCACCUGGGAACCACGGUCGACGCGGCAUAAUCUCGGGCCGACCAACAGGAAGACGGGACCACAUCCAUAAUUCCAACAGGUAGACACACCCACCAACUGACGGGGAGCCCGAAGUCCGACGGCACGCCUCGCACAGCUGCCGGUAUAGAAAGCACAACACAGCUGAUCCCCAGCUGUAAAAACCAGCCUGGUGCCAGUCAGUGAGGCAGUGGAUCCACAUCCAAGACGCAGUGUCACCUGUAGCGUCUGGGAAAAGAACACAGGCAAAGAGGUGUAGUAUCCACGCCCUGCAGUAGUGUCCAACUGUCUCAGCAUCCGCGUCCUGGGGGCACUGGCCGAAGUGUUCCCGCAGCCAUGAGAUUAGCACUCCAGAUGUGCGAGUCCCCUGCUCCUCAACCUCUCGCCCCAGGAAGGCUGCGACUCGUGCUCUCCAACCAUCUGAGACGCACGGCCCAGUGACUGGCUGGCCCCGAAUCGACAGACCCAGCAUCUUCUGACAGUCCUGUAGGGUCACUGUCAUCUCUCCGAACGGGAGGUGAAAGCUGUGAGUCUCGGGUCGCCACCUACAUUUCGCCGGAUUAUUAUUUGAUAACAUGUAAAGACAUAACAAAAUGAAUAUGAUUAGUGGUAACAGUACCUGUCAACCAACGCAGUUAUAGCCGCUGAAUUGAACUUGGGCAUCCCACGACGAACCUUAUACGAGAUGACAUCUAGGCCAGCCAUCUGUAGCAAAGGAGUGUAGCGGUCGUCGUACUGCAGCGCCAAAAACCCAUCAUGGGCUCUAGAACGAAGGAGCGGAAGGACCUGCAUGCAAAUAAACCGAGUCAGAGAUUUCAUAGGACACAAGACGUGGACGCUCGCAAAGCUUUAAUCAUGAAUUGUAAAUUAUUACCUGCCCUCCCGCUAUGAGACGACCUCGGUGGGUCUGGUCGUACGCCUGGUCUAGAAGGUGGAAGUGCGCCAUCCUACAAAAAGGCAAAAAGAAAUAAGAUUAGUAAACAAUAAAUCAUGAAGUUAGAGAUGUAGAAACACAACCUGUAUGAAUAAAACACAUAUCAAGUAACGAAAAGAGCUACUAGUCGCACCUCACUAAUUUGCCAACGGCAAGUGCGUGAAUUAUGACCCAAUCUGCCGCACUUGCCGCACUCGUUCUGUUCUGGAUCAGCAAGAAAUGGUGUUGCUCUACCACGCCUCGUUCUUCCGGAUACCUGAUCCAUAGUCAUGUUAUGCCUCGUCCGCUUCCUUGUUCCACGUUUGUUCCAACGGUAUGCAGGAUCCGCAACAUAUUUUGGCCCAUCAUAUGGAGGCCACUCUCUAGGAUCCCGGAAAGGCACGAAGCGGGGGCUCCAUGUCCGCACAAGGGUGCCUACGCUGAACUCAUGUGGUAUCAUGCUCUCGAUAUCAAAAUUGCGAUGCCUAGCUGCUGCCACCAAAUGAGAACAUACGAAGUGGUACUGCCUUGGCCUACCACAAGUGCACUUGAAAUCUCGGAGAACUACCACAUGUAUCCUCGACUCUCGGAUCUCACCGUCGGACGUUGUACCGCCCCUAUGCUCCACCUGAUAAGUCCCUGAGCCGAGAUCAAAACAUUGCACCUCAUGUGUGGAAGCCCUUUCAUUUGCAAUGAUGAGAUGUCUCUUUGGUUUUUCAGCCCAUCUCUCCCCAGCAAUCUGCAACGCUUCUGCUUUUGCGUGUCUUUUAUUGAACCACGCAACAAGCCUGUAGAAGGUGAAUUCAACGAUUGCGUUCACAGGCAUACCACGUAUCCCCAAUAACAAUUUAUUGAAUGACUCGGCCAUGUUACUGCACUGAAACUCGUACCUCCAACCACCGGCGUCGUGAGAUCUAGUCCACUUAUCUAAAUCUCUCAUCAAACCAGCAAGCCAUUGUCGACCUUCUGCAUUUGUUGCGGUCCUUACCUGCUCCAAUUUGCGCUGAAAGUAAUAGUCCUCAAGCUGAUGUGCUGCAACUUGAAACAGAUCAAAAUUAUCCUUCACACCAUCCUUCCGAAGAAGGUUCUCCGCAAGGUGCCGAGUGCACCAACGAUGAUGCAAAGGUGCAUAACCCUCUAUCUGUUCUUGCACAGCAUGAAGUAUGCCCUGAUGCCUAUCGGAUAUGACGCCAACCUCACUACUAGGACCAACCACAUGUAUCCGGACUAGUCUUAAGAACCACCCCCAACUGUCAUUGUUCUCCCUCUCAACCAAUGCAAAUGCCAAAGGAACCAACAUAUUGUUCGCGUCACAAGAUAUGGCUAUAAGAAGUGUGCCUCUAUAUUUGCCAAUCAAAAACGUACCAUCAAUAGAGAAAACAGGACGACAGUGCCUAAAGGCUUCCACAGACUGAGGGAAGCACCAGAACGCACGCUCGAAUAUCUGCCUCCCGUCCUUCCAAGCAUUUGGCUUUGGGAUGUACUCAUAAUGCAUGCCUGGAUUCACCGCUUUAAUUGCAUUAAAAAGAACUGGCAGCUGCUCGUACCCAGACUCCCAAUCCCCAUAAAUCAUCCUCCACGCUCGCUGCUUAGCCCUCCAAGCUUUACCAUAAGUUAUCACAUAUCCUCCAUAAAUCUCCUCAACAGUUCUUAUAAUUGUUCUCACUUUCAUGUUGGGUUGUUCCUUCAAUAUUCCCAUCAAUCGCUUCGCAAUGAGGGUAGAUGUUAGCUGCGGAUGUCUCACUGUAAGCUCAUGGUCAGCACAAUUGUGUGGACCGACAACUUUUGUGAUCUUCCACUUCCCGGUGAUAUUUUGCUUUCUUGCACAAACCCUCCAUGGACACCGUUCCUUGUCACACACAACUGUGUAACGGCGCUCCGCAUAUGAAUGCAACACUUUGUAUGGUCUCUUCCGUAUCACCGCAAAGGCUUGCAACCAUCUCUUCAAUGCGGGAAGGUCCUUAAAUACCCUACCCUCCUCAAUAACCAUACUAGGACCAGCUUCAGGAGCUUCUAGGAGCUCAUCAUCAUGUCCUUCUGCAAACGCCUGAUCGGAAAGAGUCAGGUCGCUAAACUCGUGAACUAUCGGAUCACGACGUCCGGGGAAUAUACGCCUGAACAUCUCAAUAUCACUCUCUGUCAUCUCUCCAACAGGACGAUCAUCAUCAGAAUCAAGAUCCACUCCCAUCUCGUAUGCAUCUUCAUCAUUCAAAACUUCAACACUAUUAGAGCCACGCAAUCCAUCUCCACAUUGCACUUGCGCAUCAACUAGAGGCACAUCCACAUUUUCUGGAAUAUCUCCUGCGCCAUCAAGUACAAAUAUGAGUAAAGAAUAAGUGGAUGGAACGAAUGGAUUAUCUCGUAUCAAUAGAAACCGGUGAGACACUUACUCGGAUCAUUCUGAGUGAAAAGGAACUCAUUAGGAGAGUCCGCCACAUCAUCAACAAUCCGACAACCAUGUCCAACUACUUCAUUAGGGGCAGAUUCAGCAUUGGGAAUAGUAGGUGCAACAUCCACGUCCAUAAUAGGUUCUGGGACGGGAGGAUCGAAAUGUGCCCGUUGACCCAUUGGUCGGGAAAACCGACGAGGAUUUCGAUCAACUCCGACCGGACGAACAACCACUUCAACACUUGGGGAAUGACCAUUCAUAACCGUCCUCACAUAUUUCUCCCACUGACCUGCACACCGAAUUGGGACCAUCUUCCUUUGAAUGUUGAGAGGGGAACCUAGGUGAAGUAUGCCCUCGACUGUGAUUUCAUCAUUUUCAUGACAAUGUAACUCCUCCCGAGCCCUUGCAACCAACUCACUAAACGAUGGUUUCUCAUCGAAUAUGACAACCUCGUACUGCAUGCCAACAAACUUAACACAUCCAUAUUCAUCCCUUUCCACAGUGCCUCCGUAAUAUAUGCUCACUACGUUCUCCAUCUAGUAUAUCAAUAUAACGACGCACAAUUCAUUUAGUCCAUAAUAAAUUAAACAUUCUAAGUCUACUAAAUACAACUAACUAACUAUGUCACAUAUACUAACUAACUAUGACACCUAAUAUGUACCUACAUACUUACCUAUACAACUACUUAACUAAAUAUCGUAAUAACUAGUUUACUAUGCUAUUAGUUAUCAUAUCUAACAAUUUACUUAACUAAAUAUCGUAAUAACUAGUUUACUAUGCUAUUAGUUAUCAUAUCUAACAAUUAUAUCUAUCUGUCAACUUAUCUAUCUACCUAUUUUAUCUAACAAUUCUACCUAUCUAUCUAAAUUUUACCUAACUAUUCUAAUUUAUCAAUAUUACUAUUUUACCUAAACCUAUCUAUCUACAUUGUAUUACAACAAUUACCUUCGAUCGGUCGGGAGCGGCCACAGGACGGGGAGCGGCCGCCCUCAGGCAACGGCGGGCGGAGCCCGGCCGGAGGGCACCGGCGAGCGGGGAGGCGCGGCUCGGGCCGGGCGCCUCCGGGCGGAGCUGUGCCGGGGCGGCGCGCGGCAGGCCUCCGGGCGAGCCGACCGGGGUGGCGCGCGGCGAGCCGCUCCUGGCGCCGGGCGGGGGCGCGACGGGGCGGGCUGAGGCGGCGCGCGGGGGCCGCCGGGAAGCCGGCCGGGGGCGGCGCACGAGCGCCGACGGGGCGGCGCAGGCCGCCGGGCGGGCGGCGCGUGGGCGCGGGCCGCCGGGCGAGGCGGCGGCCGGGCAGGGCGGCGACGGCGCGUACGGCUCGGGCGGCGGCGGACUGGACUGGACUGGAGCGCGAUAGGUUGGUUUCGAGAUGCAAAAACAAACUGCCCAGAAGGAAGGCCGCCGAUAUGGUUGAAGGCUUGGCGCCAGGGAGGCUGGCGCCGAGCCUCGGCGCCAAGAUCUGUGGCGUCAAGUCUCGGCAUCACGAUCUGUGGCGCCAAGCCUUGACGCCACAGAUGCCUGACGCCAAGCUGAGGGUCCAUUUUCGGAAUUGGUUUCGCCAGGGGCUUAUUUGUGAGAUUUUUUCGCGAAAAGGAUAAACAAGUCGAAUCAAGAAACAAGUCCGCAACUAUUACAUCACCGUAUAGCACAGUUUAAUAAUCAAGAGAAUCAAAUCUAAGCUGUUUUCAACACAACAGCGUCGUACAACGCCACUACCACAAGCCAAACUCUGUUUCUCACCCUUCCUUGUCGUCGUGAUGCUAUGUUGGAGCUCGUGGGCGCGGAAGACAAAGCUGUACAGCUAGUGUUGUUGAUACGUAGACGUCAGCUGUGGAUUCGUCGAUGGCCGCGGACGGAGCGUCACCCAAAUCUUGCGCGGCGCCGUGGCAGUCUUCGGCCUGUGUCACGGACUCGUGGCCUCCUGCGCGCGACCGCGCGUGCAGCAGAAGUUUGGGCGCGGGACGGCAGGGUCUGGGCGCGGGACGGCAGGGUCUGGGCGCCAGCCGCGCGGGGUCCGGCCGUCCGGGGCUCCGGGGUUCGGGCGCAGGAGGCUGGGGCCUGGGGGUGGCCGGCCGGCGGCGGCUAGGAAGGAAAGGGGAUGAGGGACUGAGGAACGGAUGAUGGAUGGAGUGAGUCUAGGGUUUGGAAUUUCUCAGCUGGUUAUUAUAACCUCUCGUAUUGGGCCUCGUUUUGAUGGGCUGCUAGGCCGAAUUAUGAACUCCUGCUGAAAUUAGUCGGGGAUGCAGGGAGACGGGGACGGGGACGGGGACGGUGAAUCAUCCCAUUUAAUUCUCUGUGGGGAUCAAUUCC
rnacentral:lncRNA from 1 species